CUGGAUUCAGAAUAUGCCACUGGCAUGAAAAUGUCUCGAGGAUGCAGAAUCAGAAAAAGUGCCGCGUGUUCAUGCAACAAGCCGCAUCUUCUUCGCAUGCCCUGCUCUCAUGUCAUUGCCGUCUGCUCUCAUAUUGGAGUUAGCGCUGCUACAUACGUGUCCCCAUACUACACCUUGUCCUAUCUAGGAGAUACCUGGAGCAGCAAAUCUGUUGUAUCCGACUCUUCAUAUGACUACAGGAAAUUUGGCUCUGCGACAACAACUUGGAUCCCGGACAAAAAGUUGGAGUGUGGCCUUCCUGUGUUUCCAACAUCAGACUGCAUACAAACUGGCCCGGAUGAGGAAGAUCAAUAGUGAAGCGUUGAAAGUGGAUCAAUCAAGGAAGGAAUGGACACUCAGAAGAACCUAGCUAAACUUGAACUUUUGUUAUCCGCUAGUUUAGUUAUAUUUGUACCAAAUUUGCAGUAGCUCCCGAGCUUAAGUUAUCCUAUGCAAACUUGAACCCUUAUUAAUAUGUGUUGUACUUCUAUCAUAUCCAAGCAAGUGAAUUUCACAGUUUCUUCAGGCAAUAUGGUUAAUAGCCCUGUGAGUGCCUGUAAAUCGAUCCAUUAAUAUGCAAUCCAUUACCAUUCUCCAACAUUGAAUCCUCAUUUCCUUCCCAGUUAUUUAUAGUCACAUCUUCUUUGCGUGGAUAAUUGUGUACAGUUUUCAUACUUCAAUUCCGUGCUUGAUUUAUAUUUGCCUCAUGCUCAGAUAUACACAAACUCCAAACCAUUCUAAAGACAUUUCUUAUUAGCUGAUGCCUUUGUAAGUAAUAAUCUUCAGUCUUGAUUGCUGAAUUUCUAUUCUUUUCUCGCAACAAUGCUGCCAAGAUAAUCACACAACAGGAAAAGAUAAUAAAAUACGUCCAAGAUCAUUGUAUCUUGAAUAUUUCCGUGGAAUCAUUCUGCGGAGAGUUGCCAUGGAGCCUCUUACAUGUUUGGUUUUACUUCAGAGAAGCGCUCAGCGUUCCACUGAGGAACUCUUGUUCCCAAUGAUCUCCACUGCCUUCUGUUGUGCCUGAAAUCGGAAAUAUUAAUGCACCCACCAUAAGGUAAGCCUAGCAUGCAUGGAAAAUAGUAGUAGCAAGCGCACCAGUUCAUGUCCCCAUCAUUCAGUUCUGCUGAUGAUCUAUAUGCCAAGCUGCAUUUGUCAGUAUGUAAACACACCAUAGUCCAGAGCAGGAUGUCAUCUGAAUAAUAUGUCUGUUGUUCAGACUUGGCAACUUACUGUCAUAUGAAAUUGUGGUUCUUUUUUACUUCACUGGAGAAAAACAUUCCACCUUCUCUUAAGCAGAACGCGAAUGUCUGCGUCGGAUAUUUGGGGCCAUAACUUCCACGUUAUAUUAACUUUAACAAGGUCAUACGAUUUGCAAAAAAAGAAAGAACAAAAGCAAUCGAACGCACCAGAAACUGCCAACAUUCAGAAAGCAGAGCACAGUUGCAGAUCACUGAAACUAUGGAUACAUCCUGCACCACUCAAGUUAUCUAAACAAAGAAGGGCGAUCCUUCAUAGUAAUCAGGAAAUCUGGAACGUCUCGGGAAAUAUCGUCACUAGUCCCAUUCAUAUCCAUGUCCUGGGCAAAAGUUGGUGACAAGCACUCAACUAUUUCCAGCAGGUUUUAAUUUUCCAAUGCAACCGCAGCGCACAUUCUUUUUCGUUCAGUUGCUUAUUCAGUGCAACUAUUAUGUCUAAUUAGACAAUGGGUGCAUAUACACCUAUGAGCCAAAGUAAAUUUCCGCUCUUACUGGUGCUGGCUUGUCUAGUAGUAUAUCCAUACAGCACAUGUCAGAGCAAGUACCUUUAUUUUGAUUCAUUUGCAUCUGUUAGAAGGGACUAGAGAGGGAUUGGCGGAAUAUGAUAGAUGUAUUAUUAAAGCUUCAAGGGUGAGUAUAUAUUGAGUACAAGACUUGGAGGGCAAGAAGUUUCUCCUAAAGAUAAGAUAGGAGAUGGAUUACAAAUCCUAGACUACCAAAUACAUGUAACUCAAAUAUAUCUCUAACGUCCCCCUGGAUUAAAAAUGAUAGAUCUUCAGUGGUACAUGAUAUUUACCUUGUCAAUGAGUUACUAUGGUCUUCAUUUCUUCGAACAUCCCAUCUAUAUAUAGCUCACAAGCUCAGUGGUUUGUAGUUAUCAACUAGUCAGAAUAGCUCCCAUGCUUAAAAAAAAAUACUCCCUCCAUUCCCUUAUACAAGGCCACAAACUCAAAAUAUAGGUACCAAGGCAAAAUUUAAUGACUGCUUUAUAAGUCAACUUUUCUUCUCGUUAACCGGGAUUAUUAAUAUGCCCGCAUGCAUGCAUGGGAGAAAUGAGAAGGAAGUAGCACAAUGUCAUUAUGACUACAUGCAUGAAAGUUUAAAUAAGUUGCUACUAUGAGAAAACAUCAUUAAAUGUUGCUCGAUUACUGUUAGUGGACUUGUAUAGAUGCAAAAUGUAUUUUUUAUAGUGGCCUUGUAUAAGGGAAUGGAGGGAGUAGCUCACAUCCAUCGUGUUUUAUUAUAUGGUCAACUAGCCAUAGGUAGGCUGAAGAAAGAUACUCCCUCCGUUCCUAAAUAUUUGUCUUUUUAGAGAUUUCAAAUGGACUACCACAUACGGAUGUAUAUAGACAUAUUUUAGAGUGUAGAUUCACUCAUUUUGCUCCGUAUGUAGUCACUUGUUGAAAUCUUUAGAAAGACAAAUAUUUAGGAACGGAUGGAGUAUAUGUGUGGCUUUUAUAUUAAGUGAGUCAGCUACCGUGAAAAUAGUACUCAAGAGUCAAGACACUUUGCCUGAUUUUAUGUUGUUAAGUUGCACAAUACCACAAAUAUGUUAGAUUUAGGACCCACCGGGAAUAGAUAAGCUUGAAACUGCAUGAGAUCCUGCCGUAGUGCCGUUAGAUCAAACUGUGCAGGGUACCUGUAGCACCGGGUAUUGUAGCUAUGUACUGUGCACAGGUCACUGGAUCUCAAUCCUGCCGUACAUCUACUUUGCACCAUUACUGUACUGUUCCUCAUGUCUACACACGCUACGACAUGGCUGGUUUGGUGCCAACUUUUGUUUUACUAUAAUGUCAGGGGAAGCACAUAUAUUAGCUAUUAGCUACUAAGAUAACUAGCUAAUUGCCUUGCUAAUCUCUAUAUAAGAUUUUUUUGCAGGUAAUCUCUAUAUAAGUUAAUUUCCAGAAAGUUUUGGUUUUGUUGAAUAUUAGCUUCCAGCAAAUAGAAUAGCCAAUCUGUGAUCGUAAAAUAAGCACGCACUACAAUUUUGUUAUCUGUAUAUCUUAGCAGUUAUAUAUUUUACAAGAUGAUCUCUGCUUUUCGUAGCGCGAGCCAAGUGAGCAGUUUCAAAUAGUUCUCAUGCUCGAUUUUUACAAAAAUCCAAUUAUGCAACUGAUCAAAGUUGCCCUAUAUAUGAACAACUCAAAAAAAGAAAAGAUGUCGUAUGAACAGAGUGCAUGUAUGCCUGAGACCUGAAUAUGAAUGGAAACUAGUGAUGAUUAUUCCCCGAGCCAUUCCAGAUUUACCAACCACUAUGAAGGAUCACAGUUUGUUAUCUGAGAUGCCUUGGGUGCUGCAGGGAUGUGUCCACAGUUUCAGUGAUGUGCAACCAUGCUCUGCCUUCUGAGUGUUUACAGUUUCUGGUGCAUCUGAACAACCUGCAUACCGUUCAGAUUAUAUCUGGGUCUGCACUAUUGUGUGCUUACAGCCUGGCAAACUUCAUGUAGCUUAGCAUGUAGAUCAUCAGUGAAAGUGAAUGAAACGGACAUAAACUGGUGCGUUUCUCACUAUUAUUUUCAAUGACACUAGUAGAAAAAGGGCAUUUAGUCCCGCAUCCGGGACUAAAGGCCGUCCACGUGGCCGCAGCCUGGAGCUCCACAUUUAGUCUCGGUUGGUAACACCAACCGGGACUAAAGGAAAUUUUAUGAUUUUUUUUUCAAAUUUUUUUUUGAAUUUUUUUUUGAUUUUCAAAUUUUUGAAUUAUUUUAACCUCUAAUCUCUAAUCAUCCCUCAUCACUGCUCAAUUUAACCCUGAGCACGCUUAACUUCCGGGUUCUAUUCUCCCUCGUUUCCAAGUCUGCACUUGUUGUUUUCCUGACAAUAGUAAGAUGUCAAUCCUAUGAACCCUCAGGAAUUUAGCUUGAGCAUGAAGUCACACAUUUCACUGUUUGAGUUUGAAACUAUUGUUCUAAAAAACAAUAAUUAUUUAGUAACACUAAUAUUUCUUGAAUAAGUAGUUUGACCACAGUUUGACCAGAUUUGACCAAAAUUCAGAAAAACUGUAAUAAUUAUUUAGUAACACUAAUAUUUCUUGAAUAAUUAGUUUGACCAUUGUUUGACCACAGUUUGACCAGAUUUGACCAAAAUUCAAAAAAACUGAAAUAAUUAUUUAGUAACACUAAUAUUCUUGAAUAAUUAUUUAGUAACACUAAUACUUCUUGAAUAAGUAGUUUGACCAUAGUUUGACCAGAUUUAACAAAAAUUAAAAAAAACAGAAAUUUGAGCAUAACUUUUUUUCCUUUUAGAAUUUGAGGAUUCUAAAAAUUUGCAAACAGGCCGUAGGUUGUCAAAAGUGAAUGCGGAUUUUCGUGCUGAACAUUUUGAUAUAUUAUACUUUUUUUCUGACAUCGUAUGCAAAAGUUAUAGCUGUUUCACAUUUUACCUACAUUUUUUGCAAAACAUGUCCAAAUUUAAGUUUUUAAAUUUUCCUAACUAGUACAUGUAGUAACAUAACUACAUCUGGAANNNNNNNNNNNNNNNNNNNNNNNNNNNNNNNNNNNNNNNNNNNNNNNNNNNNNNNNNNNNNNNNNNNNNNNNNNNNNNNNNNNNNNNNNNNNNNNNNNNNNNNNNNNNNNNNNNNNNNNNNNNNNNNNNNNNNNNNNNNNNNNNNNNNNNNNNNNNNNNNNNNNNNNNNNNNNNNNNNNNNNNNNNNNNNNNNNNNNNNNNNNNNNNNNNNNNNNNNNNNNNNNNNNNNNNNNNNNNNNNNNNNNNNNNNNNNNNNNNNNNNNNNNNNNNNNNNNNNNNNNNNNNNNNNNNNNNNNNNNNNNNNNNNNNNNNNNNNNNNNNNNNNNNNNNNNNNNNNNNNNNNNNNNNNNNNNNNNNNNNNAAACCGAAAAGGCGAUCGGGGGGGGGGGGGGUAGAGUUUGAAAAUGAGCCCUUUAGUCCCGGUUUGACACACGAACCGGGACUAAAGGGCAUGGCACCCUUUAGUCCGGGUUCGUGUCUCAAACCGGGACUAAAGGGCUCAGGUGAACCGGGACUAAUGCCUUAGCCGCACGAACCGGGACCAAUGCUCACAUUAGUCCCGGUUCGUGACUGAAUCGGGACUAAUGUUAAUAUUGCCCUGUGACCAAAGCCCUGUUUUCUACUAGUGUGAAUGCUUGACUUACCUUAAUAUUUCUGGUUUCAGACAAGACCAAAGGCAAUGGGGAUAGUUAGGAAAAGUCUUUCUCUCGGUGAACGCCAACCGCUUCUCUAAAUUGAAAACAUGAGUUCAUGGAAAUAUUCAAGAUACAAUGAUCCUGGCAGUAUCUUUUCCUUUUGUGUGAUUAUCUUCCCAGCAUUCUUGUGGGGAAAGCAUAGAAAAUUUAGCUAAAAAUUAAUGACUUCUGAACGAUUUGGAAUUUUUAUAUAUCGGAGUAUGAAGGAAAUAAAAGGCAAGCAUCAAACUGAAAUAUCAAAACUGCAAACACAAUUAUCAUCGCAAAGAAGAAACUGUUCUUUUUUGGCGAGGAGCAAAGAAGAAACUGUAACUAACUGGAAAUGAAAUACGGAUUCAAUGUUGGAGCAUGAUAAUGGAUUGAUUUGCAGGCACUCACAUGCCUACACUAGUAGAAAACAGGGCUUUGGUCAUAGGGUAGUAUUCAUAUUAGUCCCGGUUCAGUCACGAACCGGGACUAAUGUGAGCAUUCGUCCCGAUUCAUGCGGCUAAGGCAUUAGUCCCGGUUCACCUGGGCCCUUUAGUCCCGGUUGGUGCCACGAACCGGGACUAAAGGGUGCGAUGCCCAUUAGUCCCGGUUGGUGGCACCAACCGUUUAGUCCCAGUUGGUGCCACCAACCGGUACUAAUGGGCUUUGAGGCAUUAGUACCGGUUCAUGGCACGAACCGGUACUAAAGGUCCCAUUUUCAAACUCUACCCCCCCCCUCCCCGACCGCCUUUUCAGUUUUAGAAAAAAACAAAAGAAAAUGAUGAAAAUGUCAAAAAAUAAAAUAAAAUAAGUUUCCCAUGUGAUAUGUGGUCUAGUUGUUGGGAAAAUUAACAAAUAUGAAUUUCGACUUUAUUUGCAAAAUCUCUCUGAAAUUUGUAAAAUGGGCAUAACUUUUGCAUACGAACUCGGAUGAAAAAGUUUUUCAUAUGAAAAAUCAUCUACUCGAAAAGUUACAUCCGAAUUUAACGGGGGGGAACCCCGUUAAUCAUUUUCAAAAUCCUCAAAAACCUAACAGAAAAAAGUUACGGGGCUUUUAACUAGAGUGGAAAAAAUCGAAAAAAUUUCAAACUGUGGUCAAACAAUGGUCAAACUAAUUAUUCUAGAAUAUUAGUGUUACUAAAUAAUUAUUUCAGUUAUUUUGAAUUUUGGUCAAAUCUGGUCAAACAGUGGUCAAACAAUGGUCAAACAAUGGUCAAACAAAUUAUUCAAGAAAUAUUAGUGUUACUAAAUAAGUAUUGUUUUUUAAAACAAUAGUUUCAAACUCAAACAGUGAAAUGUGUCACUUCAUGCUCAAGCAAAAUUCCUGAGGGUUAAUAGGAUUGACAUCUUACUAUUGUCAGGAAAACAACAAGUGCAGACUUGGAAACGAGGGAGAAUAGAGCCCGGAAGUUAAGCUUGCUCAGGCUGGGGGAGUGGGAGGAUGGGUGACCAUUCGGGAAGUUAGAUGAUUUGGAAUGAUGAGGGGUGAUUAGAGAUUAAAGGAUAAAUUGAGCAGUGAUGAUGGGUGAUGAUUAGAGAUUAGAGGUUAAAAUAAUUCAGAAAUUUGAAAAUAAAUUUUUAAAAAAAAAUUAAAAAAAAAUCAUAAAAUUUCCUUUAGUCCCGGUUGAUGUACCAACCGGGACUAAAGGUGGAGCUCCACGUGGCCGCGGCCUUUAGUCCCGGUUCGUGUAAGAACCGGGACUAAAGGGGAGAGGCAUUAGUAACGACCCUUUAGUCCCGGUUCAAAAACCGGGACUAAAGGGCCUUACUAACCGGGAUAAAAGCCCUUUUUUCUACUAGUGCUAUGGACCGUAUUGACUGAAGAUACUGUGAAUUCACUUACUUUGACAUGAUAGGAGCAGUACAGUAAUAAUAAAGGUUCAAGCUUUACAUAUGAUUACUUAAGCUCGGCAGGUACUGCAUAUUUAGGAUACAAAAUAUGACUAGGUUGACGAUAGCAAAAGUUCAAGAUCAACUAGGUUCAUCCGAGUGUUCUUUGGUUCCUUGAUUGUCUAUAACUGAUCGACUUUCAGUGCUUCACUGUUGAUCUUCCUUGAUUUCCUGCAGUCAUACUCAUCUUUAUAAAUGGCAUCUACCUUGUUAAUGAGCUAUUACCAUAUUUAUUUCUUUCCAGCUCCCACCUGGAAGGUGUGCAUAUAUAUACAGCCUCUAUCCAUGGUGGUGGUUCAUAGUUUCCCACUAGCUAGAAUAGCUUCCGUCCACCGUGAUUUGUUAUAUGAUCUGCUAGCUAGAGGUAUACUAAAGAAGGAUGCAUGUAAGCCAUUUAUUCAAUUGAGCCAAAUUUUAUGCUGUUAAACUCGCACACUGAUAAUAAUGUGUUAGAUUUGGGAGGCAUUAGGAAUAUAUAAGCUUGUAACUUUGUGAACUCAUGGCAUGCAUCUACUCUGCACCACAGCUCUAAGAUGCCACGACCCUCCACCGAAACUGUGUGGACAAGAGAAACCUGAACCAAGAGCAGCCUGUGCGAUGGCGGAAAGUAUAGUACCUCAACUCGAGGGGAUGCCGUACGUGUUUAUAGGCAGGGGCGCACCUCCCUGAUAGCGCAUACAGUUUAGACUACAUCUUGGAGAGGAAGCUAGGUAGAGAUAAGAUUACAAAAGGAAGAUAAACUCUAGCUAACAAACUACCAACUACCUAAGAUGAUAUGGGUGCGGCAGCCCUCCUUGUCACGUACGUUUAACACCCUCCCUUAAUCACAACUUCAUCAAGUUAAGAUUAUAUCUGAAGUUCUCAAAGCUUCGUAUAGGCAAGGCUUUUGUAAACCCAUCUCCAAUCUGGUCCUUGGAAUGUAUGAACCGAAUGUCUAGGAGCUUAUUGGCAACUCUCUCUCUGACAAAAUGAAAAUCUAUCUCAAUAUGUUUUGUUCUUGCAUGAAAAACUGGAUUUGCUGAGAGAUAAGUUGCACACAAGUUAUCACACCACAAACAUGGAGCCUGAGUAGUUCUCACACCGAGCUACUUAAGGAUGGAUUGAACCCAUAUAAUUUCUGCUGUAGCAUUGGCCAGUGCCUUGUACUCUGCCUUUGUACUGGACCUGGAAACAGUAGCUUGCUUUCUGGCACAUCAAGAAAUCAGGUUAGAUCCAAGAAAUACUGCAAAGCCACCAGUGGACCGUCUAUCAUCCAAACAUCCUGCUCAAUCUGAGUAAGAGAAGGCACUAACAAGAGUAGAUGACUUGCUAAAAUUAAGACCAAUGCUCAUAGUAUCUUUCACAUAUACGUUUUGCAGCAGUCAAAUGAACUGUGGUUGGUGCAUGAAGGAAUUGACAUACUUUGUUGACAGCAAAAGAAAUAUCAGGUCGUGUGAGUGUCAAGUAUUGAAGUGCACCCACAAGACUUCUGUACCUUGUGCUGUGUUCUGAACUCAAAAGUGUUCCUUCUAUGAAAGACAAUCUUUCUGUACUAGACAAAGGAGUAGUCAUAGGUUUACAACCUUGCAGCCAGCUUUUCUUACCAAAUCAUUUGCAUAUUUUUCAUGGGAGAGAUGAUGUCCAUCCUUGUGCUUCUUUACUUCAAUCCCUAGGAAACAGUGCAAAUCACCAAGGUCCUUUAGGGCAAACUCAGCGCUUAAAUCCUUCAACAGUCCUGUUAUUGCCUCAUCAGAUGAACUUGUGACAAUAAUAUCAUCAACAUAUAUAAGAACAAAUAUUGAUGUAUUGGACUUAUUGUAAAUGAACAGUGAGGUGUCGGACUUUAAAGGAACAAAGCCAAGCAUUUGCAUCUUUUUACUGAGACGAGAAUACCAUGCCCUAGGAGCCUGUUUCAAUCCAUACAAUGCUUUAUCAAGCUUGCAUACGUAAGAGGGUGCAUGUUUGUUUUCAAACCCACAAGGUUGUUUUCAUGUAAACCUCCUCUUCCAGAACACCAUGAAGAAACGCGUUCUGUACGUCUAAUUGUCGAAGACUCCAUCCCCUGGAAACAGCAAUAGACAAGGCAGCUUUUACAACUGGACUAAAGGUGUCCUCAUAGUCUAUGCCAUACCGUUAUUUAAAACCUUUAGCAACUAGCCUUGCCUUGUAACGAUCAACUGUUCCAUCGGACUUCCUUUUGAUCCUAAAGACCCACUUGCAGUCAAUAAGAUUUUUACCUUGUUUUGGAGGAACCAAAUGCCACAUUUUAUUUUUCUGUAGUGCCACAUACUCCUCAUGCAUUGCCUUUCUCCACUUCUCAUCACCAAGGGCCUCAUCAAGUGUGGUGGGCUCACCUGGUUCACCUAUAGAACAGAUCAUACCAUAUUUGGUUAUGUGCUUGUAAUUAAUUGGCUUAUUUACCCCUGAUUGUAGUCGUGUACGGCGCUGCUGUGCAGCAACAUUGUUUUGCGCCACAGAGGAUCCCAUGGCUGAAUCAGGAGCUAGAAUCUACGCCCGAUCCGAGACGGAUCCGCCUGCUCCAGCAGUUUCAGCGGGGUCCGCUGCUGGCGGAUCUUCUGUGGCAGCUGGCUGCUGUGGUGAAUACGAAUCCGGCGCAGAAGAUCCCGUCCGGCCAGCCGACACGGGCUGACAGGGAUCUGCACCUGCUGUGUCUUGUCCCGAGCCAGUCGGUCGCCCUGCAUCGCGCCGCUUGUAGACAGCCGGUUGGCUCCCGAAGCGCGAGCCAAUCGGGCCAGCGGCAGCCUGACGCGUGGCAGUUGCUGAUUCGCGCGGGCUGGUGGAGCCGCCGCUGCCAACCACAGCUGGCCGCGUGGCCAACGCGGAGACGGGCGCCGAUGGCGCGCCUGGUGCAGCAUCGCGCGCUGUCGCUGCUGACGCGCCAGAUCCCGAGGCAGAUCCUCCUGCCUCUGCUGAUGCGCCGGAUCCCGAGGCUAAUCCACCUGCCGCUGCUGUCACGGCGGAUCCCGAGGUGGAUUUGCUCCCUUCGCCGUGACACAUAUGAUAUGGGCAGACUGUUGCACCAUUUUCUUCGCUGUUUGCACCGUUUUCUUCGUUGUUUUCACCGCUAUGGUCUCCUGUGUCAUCACAAGGCUCAUGCAUAUGGUUAGGAGGAUUAGUCAACAAAUGAUCAUCACGGUUAUCAUGUCCCCCUUGAUCAUGACCGGAGAGGUGAGGUGGUAGAAGAAGUAUCUCCUUGCGAAGUAAGGCGCCGGCAUUAGGGUGAAGAUCAGCAAAAGGGAAUUUUGUCUCGUCAAAAACAACAUCUCUAGAGAUGUAGACGCGGCCAGUAGAGAUAUCAAGGCAUUUUACACCUUUAUGCGGAGCACUAUACCCAAGAAACGCACACUGUUUGGAGCGAAACAUAAGCUUGCGGUUGUUGUAGGGGCGAAGAUUCGGCCAACAAGCGCAUCCAAAAACACGAAGAGAUUUAUAAUCUGGUUUUGUGUGGAGAAGCCUUUCUAAGGGAGUUUCAUUGUUGAUAACCCGACUAGGAAGCAUGUUUAUGAUGUGUACGGCAGUGAGGAAUGCUUCGUCCCAAAAUUUUAAGGGCAUAGAAGCUCCGGCCAAGAGAGAAAGGCCAACCUCAACAAUGUGCCUAUGCUUACGUUCCGCAGACCCAUUUUGUUGGUGAGCGUGAGGGCAUGACACAUGAUGGGAAAUCCCUAACGUUUGGAAAAAGGAGUUGAGUUUUUCGUACUCCCCUCCCAGUCGGAUUGGACAGCAAGAAUCUUUCUGUCAAACUGCCGUUCAACAAGAGCUUGGAAGUUUUUAAAGACUUGGAAAACUUCUGACCUCUUUUUAAGAAGAUAGAGCCAAGAAAACUUGCUGUAGUCAUCAAUGAAGCUAACGUAGUAUGUGUGUCUACCAACAUAGCUUGGGGCAGGACCCCAUACAUCAGAAAAAAUUAAUUGCAACAGUUGAGUAGAAACACUAGUGGAAACAGGGUAAGUAAGUUGACGACUUUUUGCUUUCUGACAAGAAUCACAAAUGGUUUCAACAUUGCGCUCACCAACAAACGGGAGCUUAUUCUUUUUAAGUAAACGAUCAACUAAGGAAAAUGAAGCAUGCCCUAAACGGUCGUGCCAUCGUGUGGCCGAAAGCUUGAUAGCACCGCAAGCUUGUUUAUUGUAUCUUAGAAGCUCCGGAAUCAACGGGUAAAGGCCUCGAACACAUCUACCACGAUAGAGAGUUUUCCUCGUGACCUGGUCCUUGAUCAAAAAGAACAAGGGAUGAAAUUCAAUAUAAACAUGAUUUUCAAGGGUGAUUCAAUGGACAGAUAGAAGACUCUUGUCAGUGCUAGGGACAUGCAAAAUUUUCCUAAGAUGAAAUUUUCGACGUGGGGUACGAAAAACUGAAUGACCAAUGAGACGUAUCCUCAUACCUGCACCAAUUGCGGUGUGGAUCUGGUCCUUGCCAUGAUAUUUCUCCUUGAGUGUCACCUUCUCUAGUUCGCCGGUGAGGUGGUUCGUUGCGCCGCUGUCGAGAUACCAAUGGUAUCGACGCCAUAUGAGCCGUCAGCAGCAGCAGCCACCUUUUCUUCAUCUUCAGAGGAGGCCUCAUCCUCAUCGAACCGGUACCAGCAGUCCCUCGCCGUGUGGCCCGGUUUGCCGCAGAUUUGGCAGCGCACCGCGUCUGGGCGUGACCUGGAAGAACCACCGCGGCGGCCCCUGUUGUUGGUGGAGUUGGGCCGUCCGUUGCGGGAGUUGGACCCGCCGUUGCUGCCACCGCUCCCCUGCUUGCCCUUGGAGCGAGGAGGACCGCGGUGACGUGCGUAGCCGCCGCGCUCGCGCGUCACAGCUUUAGCUGACGACUUGAAGCCGCCCGAUCCCUGGUACUGCGCCACCCUCUGAUCAAAGUUGCUAAGCAUUGAAAAAAGCUCAUCGAGGGAUACCGGGGUGAUGCGGGCGUCGAGGGCGGAGACGAGUGGCUGGUAGUCCAUGUCGAGGCCGUGCAGGAUGUAGGAGAUGAGUUCAUCAUCCUGGAGGGGUUUCCUGGCGGCGGCCAGCUCAUCGGCGAAGCCGCGCAUCUCGGCGAAGUAGGUAGUGACGGUCUUGUUGCCCUUCUGGGCGUUCACCAGAGAGGUUCUGAUGUUGUUGACGCGACUGAGCGACUGCGAGGAGAACAUCCCUGACAGCGCCAUCCAGAGCUCGCGCGCCAUGGUGAUUGCGGUCACCUACACGAGCACCUCCUUGGUGAGGUUGUUCAGCAGGUACCCCGAGCACCUGCUGGUCCUCUCGCACCCAGAUGGAGUGGAGGGGAUUCGGCUCAGUUGAUUCCUUCCCAUCUUUGUCCUUGGUGUGGAGGAUCCUGGCCGGCUCCGGUGUCGUGCCGUCGACAUAGCCGAAGACACCCGCGCCCCUCAGCUGCGGCAUGAUCUGCGCGCGCCAGAGGACAUAGUUGGUGCGGGAGAGCCUCUCCGUGACUUGGCCGUUGGGGCCAGCCUGGGAGGCGCCGGAGGAAGAGGAAGACGACAUAGUUGCACUGGAGUUCUAGGGUUUAGACGUUGUGGAAGAGAAGGGCUAUGAUUACCAUGUGCGAUGGCGGAAAGCGUUGUACCUCAACUCGAGGGGACGCCGUACGUGUUUAUAGGCAGGGGCGCACCUCCCUGAUAGCGCAUACAGUUUAGAUUACAUCUUGGAGAGGAAGCUAGGUAAAGAUAAGAUUACAAAAGGAAGAUAAACUCUAGCUAACAAACUACCAAGUACCUAAGAUGAUACGGGUGCGGCAGCCCUCCUUGUCAUGUACGUUUAACACAGCCAUAGUCCCCAAGUUUAGAGAGGCUACUGGGAGUGCAGUUUUGAUGCAAAAUUUUCAGUUACUGUCUGCAGGGGACGCACAAAACAUUAGCUACCGAACUGCCUUGCUAAUCAGCGGACUCAUCUACCAGGUGCUCCGGUGGAACAUGAGCCCUUGGAUUAAAAAGAGAGGGACAAGAUGAAGUGCAAGGGGAGCUACUGGUACGUUUUGCAAAACUAACCUUCGAGUCUAGGUAAAUCGAGCGAAUCGACCUCACAAACCCAGUUCGUCUAUCCCCUUUUCCUCUGUCCUGUACGACUGCUCCAGGUUGCCGGCUGAACAAUUGGGUGAAUCCAUCUCUCCCUGUCCCUCUCCGGCUUCUGGCGUUUAAACACGAGUGCCCAAGAUCCAAAUCAUGAUGUCCCUCGCUGUCAUUUGCGUUUCUGUACCGACGCGGGGCUGUAGCUUUGUGGAUAUAUGAUGAGAGAGGGGUUCGCCCAAUUCUGCCAAAUUAGAAUCUCUUUUAAGUGUAGUGUUCUAGAUUCCGCACAACUAAAUCACGCAGUCAAUAAGUCAAAGCUACUUGGGCGUAUGAUGAUCUGCUUGACAAAUCUUAGUGCCCCCCUGAAGAUGUGACGGUUGCUUAUUGGCUGACAAAUCAAAACGCUAUGAUACUAAGCCAAAUGCGGUCAGUUAGGCUGCUUUUACCUGUCGAGAUGGUGUUCUGCUUUGCUGGGAGAUUCAACAUUAUGCUCUGAUUGCCUAGGGCUGGUAAAUCUGGUUGAAGACGUAGACGACGAACAGGGCUGCAAAUCUUCAGGUUCUUGUGCAACUUCAGAAGCUAAGUAGUGCUUUCAGCUUUUGCAAUUAUCUUUAUAAAACGAGAAGCCAAUAUGGCAGCUCAUGAGACUGCUAAUUUUACCUCUCGUGCUAGUCCAGAUCAUGUCCGGUUGUCUCAGGCUCUGGUUUUUGUGGCACCAUGUAUUCAGCAAGACCUUUAACGUGCUACAGAAAUAGUAUGCGACUUUUUUCGCUCAGAUGGGCAGUUGUUGUACAAUUUAUAUGCAUGCUUGUUUUGUUCCAAUAUGAACGAAAUGAUGUUCUGGCAUGGAAUCAUCUAAAGAAAAUGUGUCAAGAGAUCUUCGGUUCAGCUACAAAACAACAGCACCACAACUACUUAUAAAGCUGUUUUUCUAAUACUUAAUAGUACAGAGUUAUAUCCUGGUCAAUUUGUUUUACAGAGUUAUAACUAUUGAUCUUUCCAACUUACCGAAGAAUAGAUUACAUGAAAAUUUUGCAUUUUUUCCCAAGACAACAAUGAGUAAUCAGGAAACAGAUACAUAAGCUGAUACAAGAGCAGAACUUCGAUUUUCUCAGGUACAAUGCAUGGUUUAAAACAGAAGCUCGGUCAGAUAGAUGUAUAAAUGAAGAGGACACAUGCCUUCAUAUGCAGUCUAACAUAUCUUGUUCAUUUACAGCAGAGUAAGACUGCUACUUGAAAAGCAGAAUAUAUAGAUAUUCAUACAGCUCAAACUUUACAUAUUCCAUUUUAAUGUCCAUUUGAGAUUUCUUGAAAUUCAGGCAUGAGUAAUUAAUGUCAGAGUUUUAAUCACUUCAAUGCUGCAGACCGUCAUCCAGUUACAAAUUUGCCUGAAAAUAAGACAAACAUCAUUACAUGUUGUAAGUUCUCAUCACUCUCGGGCUCAUAUGUUGACCCCUAUGUAUGCACAAUAAUAAUGGUUUAGUUCAUGAACUGAAGCUCACGCACUGAACAUAUAGAAGACUAAUUCUUUUUGGCCUGUUGUAGCUAUUUCCAACAUUUUCGACCAACCGGAUCGUGCCUUAACUAUUUGAGAAAAAAAAUAUAACAAGCGACAAAAUCUAGUCCUAAUGCCAUAGUUGACCCAAUGCUUAGAGCAGCACUUUCCAUUGACUCCAUGAUUACCUGUUUUCCUACAAAUAUAAUCACAAAAAAAUCACAUUCAGGUUCAAAAGUAGAGAACCAACCUACUACUCCAUAGUUGACCCAAUGGAGUACAAAAGCAGCACACAUCCAGAUUUUUACCUCAGAGAAAAGCAACAAUGUGCAUUGCAGAAAGACAAAUGAGGAACAUUAACAAUUAGUGCCAUGAAAGUUCAAUUGCACAUUGUAAAGGCCCUUUCCAUUUGAUAUGAAAAAAUUAAAGUGGGUCACAACUCACAAGAACAUAUAAUACAUUGCUAGUUCAUUUUCGAUAAAUGGCAUUUUUAUUAUCUCAAACUGUAGCAUCAAGCGGAUACAAAGCAUUAUGAGUAACAACCGGCCUCUGCAUAACUAAGAUGCACACAACCAAACACGUAAUGUCUGACAAAAUGAAAGGAAAAAAAUGACAAAUCAGCGAUAGUGGAGUCCUAUAGACCUAUAUUAUGCCUAUGUCGCAAGGGAUGGUGGACCGAUCCGGAGAUUAAGCUGCCACCCAUGUUGGGUAAAAAACACCGUAGCCACCUGCUCCAACCGCGUACACACCACCUUGAAUAGCGGUUGGUACUCCGCUUGUUGUAGCGUAGACCACGUACGAAGCGAGUGCGUAUAACGGAAAAUAACCUGCAAAGGAGAAGCAUUGCAACGAAAAAUUGCUAGUUCAUGUCCAAGAAAAUAACAGGAACAUCGGUAAUAAACCUACUCUUGCCAUGUAUGCAGGCUCUCAGGUUUCCAUUUUUCUCACAUACAUGUCAAAUUGCUUCAUAUCACGUACAAACCUUCCUAUAAAAUUAGCAAGCAUACAUGGAAAUUGUAUACAAAUGUAGGAUCAGAACACAUAGAUCUCAUCAUCAAUUUUCCACUAUCUGCUAUAAUUAGUGGUAAGAAUUUCACCAUUAUAACUGCAUGUCUCGCAUCGAUUUGAUGCUCACACUUUUCAAUUUCCCAAAUGCCAAUGGUUUCAAACAAAUUGGGGGAACUGACGAAUUGGAAGAUUAAAACAUGACCCGCACAUGGAUAACAGAAAAUUAAAUUCAGUGCUCAUACCUCGGUUCCUUGAGCUGUAGAAAGAUGAUGGCUGACUCGUAAGCAGCUGUAGCGUCGAUCUCAUCACCAGAGCUACAGCGCCGGGUCGCUAUGUAGACGAAAUCGCCGUGAGCUGCUGGUGGACCACGUGAUGUGGAUCCUAGGCAGUGGUGUGUCAACGCCGAAAGCCCUGGAAGCCGGAGAGAGGGAGGGAGAGAGGACCAAAUUUCUAGCCCCAGCUCAAGCCUGCUGCGAUGGUACAGGAUAUGGCAAGGGGACGAACUGGGUUCGGAAGGUCCAUUCACUUGAUUUAGAUGUACUGCAAGGACUCUUUCACAAAUGUACCAGCAGGUCCAUGUGCUAACCGGAUCCUGUCCCUCACUUUCGCUGAAAUAUGGGGUGGGCUUUAGGCCCAUCUAGCAAUUUUUGAAAAUCUCUAAGGGUCCAUAUGGGUUUAGUUGGUACUAGGUGUAGUGAGAAGUUGUUGCUAAAAAAAAAGUGUAGUCGGAAGUUUAGUCCCACCCUAGAAGUUGGAGAGGAGUUGGACCUCCUUAUAAGGGUUUCUCUUCCACAUGUUAUUGGAGCUUGAGAAGAGAAAAGGCCCUCGGGCACUCCUCCUCCGCCGCCUGCCGCGGCGCGUUCUGUUGCGUCGACAAGUAAUUUCGAAUGGAAGAAGUAUCACCGCUUGUUAUCCGAGAUGCCUUGGGUGCUGUAGGAUCUGCCCGCUGUCUGAGUUUUGACAGUUUCUGAUGUGUUCAGUCUGCCUAACAUGCCUAACAUUCAAAUGAUAUCGUGGCCUCCAAGUUGUUUUACCUGGAAACCAACGAGGAUAUGGAGGUGUUGGACACCAAAGCGUUCCACAAUAAACCUCGAUAACCAGAUGUACGUCUUAUGCACCGAGAUUGGAGAGUCUGAGUAUGUCCACCUUGUAUAUUUUAUCUUUCAUUUUAAUAUCCGUGAAGUACGGCAAGUAAAAUACUGAGCCUGGUCCCAUAUAUGUCAACCACAUUCUUCUAUUUGGGGUCUUAUAAUUUAUAUUCUAAGGUUUUCCAUGUUUUCUUUAAAAUAUUAAGGACGGCGUUACGCUUCGGCCAGGUGAUAAUCAGAUCACAUCGGCUGCCUUUGUAGCCGUUAGAUGGUAUGCAUGGCAGCCAUCCGAUUUCCGUCCUGUGAGCCCAAGUCGUUUGCAACAUGGAUAAUGUUGCGCUUGGGACUUUGCAACAUCAGCCGUGUUGCACUCGUGCGCAUGUAACCUGUGGGUCUUUGGCCACCCACUACAACAUGGACCAUGUUGUGGUCACCCAUUACAACAUGGAUCAUAUUGCAGCUACCUCCAACUUGCAUGGUGCCGGCCUUUGGUCACCCAUUGCAACAUGGAUCAUGUUGAGGUCACCCAUUACAACAUGGACCAUGUUGCGCUCACAUAUGGACAUGGUCUUGCAAGGCCAAGACCAUCACUAGGCCUCGCACUAGCGUCAAAGACGAUAUUGUUGUAGUGCUACCUGCCUCUGCAACAAAGCUCUCGGUUGGCAUGGAUUCGAAAUCACAUGCAAGACAUAAAUCCAUGGCGCUCAGGGUCUCCAACUGCAACUCCACUCGUGAGUUGGUCCAUGGAACGAUCUCUAUGUUGGCUGGGUCAGGAGGGGCGCUCGGGAAGAGGGCACAUCAGGGGAUGAGUCGUCGUGGGUCUCCACCUGAGCUUAACUGCCAGAUUUUAUCCAUGACACUAGCAGGAGGAUAAGGUUGAGGAAGAAAAGUGUGUGGGGAGCCAUGAGACAAGUGUCACCCGAACGAGGCGGACGAUGAGGUGUGAGUAAUCCGUAGGUUAAUUAUAAGUGUUUCCCAAAUAUUAAGUAUGGCAAGUCAAUAACGAAUCUACAAUGCUACACACUAUCCUCCUUGUCGAUGAAUUAUUGUCCCCUUUAUUUCUUCUGAACCACCUUUGAUGUGCAUGCAUAUAUAUAGUUCUCAGCCACCAUGGUCUAUUGAUGCCAACUAGCCAAAACAACUCCCAUCUACCACAGCUUAUUGCAACAAGCUAGCCAGAAUAGCUCCUAUCCAUCAUGGUUUAUAUAAUGUGUUCUUGCUGCCAGACUAAAGAAAGAUAUGGGGAAUGUGCCUCAAGAGAGCUAGCCACCAUGAAAUGAGUACUCUAUUACUCCACAAAACAAUUCCCCUCAAUUAUUAUCUUGUUAUGAUUGUGUGCGGAGACAAUAUAAACUACACAUGUGCCAGGACACACUAUCACAAAAUAGGUUAGAUUUGGGAGGCAUUAGGAGAAGAUCAGCUUGUGGCAACCCAGAUCGUCGCGGUGUAUCUAGUUUGCACAGUUACUCUGUUGUACCACAGUGCACGUGGUGUACAUCAGAGCCUGUGAGCAAAAAAUGUUACACAACCGAAGUCCCGUGCUCUAGGGACACUACAACUUCGAUCUGUGAAGGGACACUACAACUUUGGUCUAUGAAACGCAAGGAGGGUAUGUGGUAUGCGGAUUUCCAUAGCAUGAUUUGAUAGAGCAGUCUCGAAUACCAUGUGUGAGACUAGACUCUGCUGACAACUGGUCCGCGUAGUGGUUUGGAUCCUAACCUUUAUGCAAAAUGUAAAUGAAUAUUUUCUUCUAAUAAUCUAAUGGUAGAACCACAUGCCUUGUCUUAAUAAAAAAAUUGCAUGUCUGCCUUUCUUUAUUAUAACAUCACAUUACGCAAUUGAUCAAACUUUAUACCUCAUGCGUGAGCCAACCAACUCCUCUCUGUGGUGCUCGCUGAUAUGUCUUCAACGUAUCUAUAAUUUUUUAUUGUUUCAUGCUAUUAUAGUAUCAAUAUUGGAUGUUUUAUAUGUAAUUAUAUAUUAUUUUUUGGGACUAACCUAUUAACCUAGUGCCAAGUGUCAGUUGUUGUUCUUUCUCUGUUUUUGGUUUUCCAGGAAAUCAGUACCAAAUGAAGUCCAAAUACCACAAAACUUUUUAAGGUUUUUUUUGGACAAGAGAGACCCUAGAAGCUUCGGGUGGAGACCAGACGAGAAGCGAGGAGACGGCAAGGCAGUAGGACGCGCCCGGGGGUGUGUGGUCGCACUCUAAUGCCUGGUGGGCACCUCAUGGCUCCGUCUGUCCUAAUUCCUCCUCUAUAAUCUGUAAAAUUGGGAAACUAACAGAGAGCUGCCAAAAAUACUUUUUCUGCCACCAUAAGUUUUUCUNNNNNNNNNNNNNNNNNNNNNNNNNNNNNNNNNNNNNNNNNNNNNNNNNNNNNNNNNNNNNNNNNNNNNNNNNNNNNNNNNNNNNNNNNNNNNNNNNNNNNNNNNNNNNNNNNNNNNNNNNNNNNNNNNNNNNNNNNNNNNNNNNNNNNNNNNNNNNNNNNNNNNNNNNNNNNNNNNNNNNNNNNNNNNNNNNNNNNNNNNNNNNNNNNNNNNNNNNNNNNNNNNNNNNNNNNNNNNNNNNNNNNNNNNNNNUGCUUCCGUUCUGAUGAUGUAUAAGUAGUUUACCACGGACCUACAGGUCCAUAGCUAGUAGCUAGAUGGUUUCUUCUCUCUCUUUGAUCUUCAAUAUAAUGUUUUCCAUAUUGCUCUUGCAGAUCUAUUCAAUGUAAUCUUCUUUUCGAGAUCUAGAUGAUGUAUAAGUACCACGAACGCCGCCACUUCGAUUUCGAUGGUGAGGUAACUACUAAUCUCUCUCCCUCUCUCCCUCUCUUGCCGCUCAUUGUCGUCUGAUUUGAUUUGAUUUUGUUUUGAUUUCCAUCGCUAGGGUUUUAGCAACGGCGUCGGCGGAAAUGACCGACUACUAGGGUUCAACCCCCUCCACCUGCAUCCCCUCCACAACUUCAGUGAGUUCAUCCCAUCCAUCUUCUUUUGCUUUCUACGAAUUCAUGGUGAGUUCAUCCCCUCCCGAUUUGAUUUCCGUCGCUAGGGUUUCAGUUUGGUAGUGAUUUGACAAGGCCAAAUUGAAUUAGAAUGGGUAGGCAAAAUUAUAUUAGAGUGAGUAGGCCAAAUUGAAUUAGAGUGAGUAGGCCAAAUUGAAUUAGAAACUACAAUGUGUUUUUUUGGCAGUGCAAGAUAAUUUUGGAAAUGUGUGGUGGUGUGGAUAAUUGCUGAUGAAAUGUCUUUGCUUUGGGCAGUUCUAGGAAUGUGUUUGCUCUAGUGCAUUGCCAAGUCGGUGCCAAAUCAGUGCCACAUUGCAACCAAUUAUUCUAUACCAAUAAAUGUUGUUCAAUGAUUUCUUGUAGAAAUUUGUUAUAUAGGAGAAAUAAUGCUAUGCCAAUAAAGGUAGUUGACAAAACAAUUAUGCUAUGCCAAUGUGACUUGUGUAGAUACUACACUUCAUCCAAUGUCCAACGUGACUUGUGUAGAUACUACACUUAAUCCAUCUUGAAUUAGAAUGGAUAGGCAAAAUUGAAUUAGAAGGAGUAGGCCAAUUUGAAUUAGAAACUACAAUGUGUUUGUUUGGCAGUGCAAGAUAAUUUUAGAAAUGUGUGGUGGUGUUCUUCUGGGCACUAUAUGUUGUCGAUGAAAUGUGUUUGCUCUGGGAAUUUUUAGAAAUGUGUUUGCUCUCGGCAUUUCUGGAAAUGUGUUUGCUCUAGGGCAUUGCCAAAUUAGUGCCACAUUGGAGCCAAUUAUGCUAUGCCAAUAAAGGUUGUUCAAUGAUUUCUCAUAGAAUUUUGUUAUAUAGAAGAAAUAAUGCUAUGCCAAUAAAGGUAGUUGACAAAACAAUUAUGCUAUGCCAAUGUGACUUGUGUAGAUAUUACGCUUCAUCCAAUGUUCAAUGUGACUUGUGUAGAUACUACACUUCAUCCAUAUUGAAUUAAAAUGGGUAGGCAAAAUUGAAUUAGAGUGAGUAGGACAAAUUGAAUUAGAAACUACAAUGUGUUUGUUAGCACCGCAAGAUAAUUUUAGAAAUGUGUGGUGGUGCUCUUCUGGGCACUACAAUAUUGUUGUUGUGAUCAUCUAUGUUAUUGAUGAAGUGUGUUUGCUCAAGGCAUUGUUAGAAAUGUGUUUGCUCUAGUGCAUUGCCAAAUCAGUGCCACAUUGUUGGCAUUUUUAGUUGAUACACACGUGCAUAAUUGCGGCCCAUUAACUUAGUUGCAGCCAAUUAACUUAGUUGCAGCCAAUUAUGCUAUGCCAAUAAAGGUUGUUCAAUGAUUUCUUACAGAAAAUUGUUAUAUAUGAGAAAUAACUCGAACAGCUUCGCAGCGUAUGGCGAAGUCGACAAAGGUGAAGCGAGCACCAACAAGGUAAGAUUACAAAACAUCUAUGAGCAUUGCAAACACAUGCAUAUAUCUAGCCAUUCAUUAUUGAUGAUUUCAAAUAAUUGACUUGCCAGGGGUACGUACGAAACCUGUCUCCAGCACCCGUCGAGCCGCAUCCAUGUGACAUGGACAUGCUCAACCACGAGCUUGUCGUGUCACAUGAGAGUACAGUGAAGGCCCUCAGGGGGUUGAAUGACUCCCUGCGGAAUGAGAGGGAUCAGAUUAUCGAUAAGAAUGCGGAUUUCUACGAUAAUAUACUGAAGCUCAAUGACCAGAAGGAUAAACUAGUCGCCGAGAUUGAUGAGCUAAAGAACGACAUACACUUUAUGAAGGAUAAGAGGAUGCAACUGAAGAUGGUGACAGUCCAAUACAAAAAGGAGGGGCGGAACAAUAGGAACAAGAUACGCGAGAUGAAAAUAAUUCUUCGGAGAGAGAUGUAAGCAUGUGUAGGUAGUUAGGAGAUAUAUUGUGAUUGAAGUUGAUCACUUUUGCUACUAGCUAGUAUAUAGUACUGCUUGUGGAGUUAUCACUAGAAGUACUAACCUUUUGUGAAACUAAAUGUAAGUAAGUUUAAAUUGUUGCAUAUAUACUAGGUUUAAAUUGUUGGGUAUAAAUUUGUUAUUAACGAAAAAAAUCUAAUUGCUGGCAUUGGAAAAACAUAACACCAUAGCUAACACUAACAUAUUGCUGGUGUUAGACAUGUGGCACGCCAUCAGCACUCACAAUACCGCCGACGUUUGUGCCAACACCGCCAGUUAAAUAUUUCACUGGCACCAUACUGGUGGUGUUGGAGCCCUACGGCAACAAGGGCAAUUUUAGCACGCCAUAGCUAGGAUUUUCUGCACUAGUGCUUGAUCCCCUAUCUAUCUCCUUGUAUGCCCCUAUUGUAAAACUCAGCCAUUUUGUGGGGAAACUUGCCUGGUGACCAAUUAAAAAAUGUAUUCCCACACCAGUUGUUCAUUUUUGCCAAGUUGUUGGAAAUCUCUCCGCUGUAGAUUGUAUUAAGGAUGGAGCUGGUCUUCUAUUUUCAAACUGCUACUUGUUUAGUACCCUUCCGGUUUUUCUUGUUAAUCACUAACUCAUGUGCUCUCUAAAAAAUCUGAUUCACUUGCUUACUCUCCAUUGAAAAACUAAUAUUGAGUAAACUGGUGGUAUGGUAUGUAAGUUUUCAGGUUGUUUAUGUAGAUCCUUAAACGUUUUAGGGCUGAAUAGGAAAGAAGUUAAUAGGUUGAUCCUUAAUCGUUUUAGGGUUGAUCCUCUGGAGCUCGGUGGCCUGGCCAUUCGUGAUCUUCACUGCACGGGCAACGCGUUGCGGGUGCAUUGGCUCUGGUUGCAAGCUACGGACCCCACUCGCCCAUGGCGUCAUCUACAGCUACCCAGGGACGAGGAGACCAGCCAAUUAUUUUGCGCUCACGACCUGAACCAUUGGGUAUGGAAAGACAUGCCGGUUCUGGUGUGACCAUUGUCUACGGGGCAAAUCUAUUGUUGAAACCAACCCGACACUCCUCUCCCAUGUUCUGCGCAGACGGCGGUACAAAAAAUUAGUCUGCGAUGGGAUCUUCGGCCAGUCUUGGAUUUUGGACAUCCAUGGAUCCCUCGGCCCGACUGCUACCAUUGAGUACUUUGGUUUGUGGGUACGAAUCCAGCAGGUCCAGCUUUCUGAUAUGCCCGACAAGAUCUCCUGAAAGUGGACCUCGAACGGGAUCUACACGGCCAGUUCCGCACAGGCGCUCUUCCUGGGUUCCACCACCACGCCAAACUGGCGUCCCAUAUGGAAGUGCUCGGCACCGAUGAAUGCCAUGUUCUUCCUAUGGCUUGCCUCCCUUGGCCGUUGCUGGACUUCCGAACGAACAGCGCGCCACGGUCUACCGCACGACACCCAGUGCAUGUUGUGCUGCCAGGAGCAUGAGACCCUCGAUCAUCUACUUGCCCAAUGCACCUUCUCAAGGAUCACCUGGCACAAAAUUCUAUCCUCGUGCCGCUUGCCAGUGCUGCUACUAAACGACGCUAGCAGCUUCUUCCCUUGGUGAUCUGCCUCCCUUAGCAUUUCUCCGGCGAGAUUGCAGAUGGGCCUCACAAUGACGCUCUCUUCGACGACAUCCGGCCAUCUACCGACGAACUCGUCCGCACCAUCAAGAAGGAGGCUCGGUUUGGGCGAGGCCGGAGCCAAAGGGCCUGAACUAGUGAUCCCUAUAGUCUAAUCUUGAUGUACCGAGGCUGAGCGAUCUCCAACAUGCUCAUAUUACGCUCUUGGGGACGCCAAUGUGUGUACAUCCCCUCGAGCGGCACCCUGUAUGUUCACUCCACCUAUCAAUGAAAUGAUAUGCCUGAAUGCAUAUUCACAAAAAAAGUAGUUAAUGUAUGCUAAAAGUUCCAUAAAAAGACAUAAUUUACUUGUGGAUCCUAUAUAGUCACUGAAGUAUGACUAAUAGAGCAUCAAAAGGAGGCUCUCUUAGUUGUAAUUUAAGGAGUAAAAUCGACAAAACCACACACUCAUUUCACACAAUGCAAAAACCACCAUUUUACAAAAUGUUACAUAAUGAGCAACAAUCUCUUGGUAUUGGAUCUUCAGUUUGGGCUAAUUGAGGAACCUCCACUUGUCAAACUCUCCAAAGUCCCUAUAUCUCAUGCAUGUAACUUCUACAGAUUGAUUUCAACUUGGAUCAUUUCAUCAUGCAAAGUAUGUGGGUGUUCCAAAUGACCUACACACACAAUAUAAGGGCAUCUGCAAUGACGACCCUCAAACUGCUCGCAUAUGUCCGGACAAUGCGGUCCAGACGUGUUCUGCCUUCCAACGCGGUCCAGACGCACUUUUUCCUGCAAAUUCAAAGCAAAGUGGGGGGCUUUGCGGGAGUCCGGACAGCAGCCACAUAGGACUCCAACACCCCUGGCCCACUGGACCCCCCCUCCUGGUCCCAUUUUCUUCAAAUCCGCCCCUUCUCCCCCUUCCUUUACAUCCUCAGCCUCCUCCUUGGCCGCCGCCGUUGUACCUGUCCAGCCACCACACAGGCUUUGUCAGACCUCCGCAACCGGCAUUGACGCACCCGCUCGCAUUUUGCGAUGGCGUCGUCGAUUCAGGACCCGUCCAUAGCCAGGUACACUCCUCCCCCCUGUCGACAAUGUCCAUGGCAGACAUCACACCCGGCAGGUGUUCGGUCAAAUGCCAUUGAGCUAUUUUUUUAAUGCCAUACUAUUUUCUAGAGUACGAAGGAUGGCAGGGUACUCUAGCAUGGAAGAUGAGUUGUUGUGCGAUGAGUGGUUGGCCGUAUCCGUGGAUUUCAUAGGCAGGCACAAAAGGGGGCUCUUCUAGCAGCGCGUGCAUGAUUCAUUUCACAUGCGAAAGCACAUUGCGCCCUACGACAUGCAUAUCAUCCAGCAACGCAAUAUGAGGUCGUUAUCAUAUCAAUGGUACGUCGUCCAGACCACUGUCACCAUGUUUUGUGACAUGCUUGCUCGGUUGAAGGCAAGGUGGCCAUUGCACGCUGAAAGGAUCGAUAUAGUUGACUAGAGGGGGGGGGGGUGAAUAGGCAAUUAACAAUUUUUAUCUUUUCUUUACCAAAUUAAACUUUGCAUCAAAGUUAGUUGUCUAGAUAUGCAACUAGGUGAGCAACCUAUAUGAUUCAACAACAACAAGCACACAAGCAAGCAAGGGAAAUAACACAAGAAGCUUGCACAAGUAAAGGCACGAGAUAACCAAGAGUGGAGCCGGUGAAGACGACGAUGUGUUACCGAAGUUCCUUCCUUUUGAGGGGAAGUACGUCUCCAUUAGAGCGGUGUGGAGGCACAAUGCUCCCCAAGAAGCCACUAGGGCCACCGUAUUCUCCUCACGCCCUCACACAAUGCGAGAUGCCGUGAUUCCACUAUUGGUGCCCUUGGAGGCGGCAACCGGACCUUUACAAACAAGGUUGGGGCAAUCUCCACAACUUAAUUGGAGGCUCCCAACGACACCACGAAGCUUCACCAUAAUGGACUAUGGCUCCGCGAUGACCUCAACCGUCUAGGGUGCUCAAACACCCAAGAGCAACAAGAUCCACAAGGGAUUAGUGGGGGGAAUCAAAUUUCUGUUGGUGGAAGUGUAGAUCGGAGCCUUCUCAACCAAUCCCUAGAAAAUCAACAAGUUUGAUUGGCUAGGGAGAGUGAUCGGGCGAAAAUGGAGCUUGGAGCAACAAUGGAGCUUAGGGUUAGAAGAGGUGGUCAACUCGAGGAAGAAGACACCCCUUAUAUAGUGGAGGGACAAAUCCAACCGUUAUCCACCAACCCAUUCUGCGCAGCACGGUACUACCGCGCCAGGGCCACGGUACUACCGCAAGCACAUGCGGUACUACCGUAGGGCCUUGCGGUACUACCGCCCGAGCAGCACAGACCUGGACAGCUCAAUCGCACUGAAGAGGAGGGCAGUAGAACCGCUUGUGCGGUACUACCGCACCACCGAGCGGUACUACCGCGAGGCAGGGAAGUUCCAAAAAACGAGAAGGCACAGACGUAAAAAAUUACAUCUGUGGCAACUUCCGCUGAGUUGGAGUCGACGCAAAAAUCCGACACGGUAGUACAUCAUGAGGAGCGGUACUACCGCGUAGCGGCUCAGCCAGGCCAGGCAGCGCGGUACUACCAUGCACAGGGCGCGAUACUACCGUGUAGGGCGCGGAUGUAAAAAAUUACAUCCGCCCCUACUAUCGCCGCGCAGCAGCACUUGGCCUGGGGGCCAAGGUACUACAGCUCCUGAGGAGCGGUACUACCAUGGGCUCCUGCGGUACUACCGCACCAAGGUCCGGUACUACCGCUCCAGGGAGCGGUACUACCGCAUGCCCAAGCUCAGCAACCAAGACAAGUUGCAUAGAGGAUAAAACGGAGGAUGCUCCAAAGAGCCAAAGGAAAGGUGGUGCAAAAGGAGUAGAUGUGUACGUGAUGAUUCCACCCAAACCUUUCGAAAGCGUACCCCCUCUUAAUAGUACGGCUUUCCUACGACUCAAAACCACUGAAAAGAAACGUAGAAAAACGCCGUCUUCAAUAGUCUUCGAGGGGCACCAAACCGUCUUGUGCCUAGUGACGAAACGUCUGAAAUACUCGAGGCACACGAUUAGUCCGCAAAAGCAUUGUCAUCAAUCACCACAACAUCUUAGGGAUAAAUAUCCCUUACAAUCUCCCCCUUUUUGGUGGAUUGAUGACAAUACGGGAUUUGCACAAAGGGAAAGACAUAGACCAUAAGCAAACCCCACAUCUCUAAAAUAUAGACGGGCUCCCCCUAGAUGGGUGCUAUCUAGAUAGGUGCUUUGGACUGCACGUCACACAUACUAGGAUCAACACUCCCCCUAUAUUUUAUAGACAAUGCAUAUCUUGCAACAAAAAGGCUAACACUAAGCAAGAUAGUGAGUAAGAGCAUAAUAUAAAUAGCACAAGAUAUCAUAAGCUCGAUAAGAUUCGAUAGAGUGCAUAUGUCUUACACCAUAUUAUAGAUAAGUCUCACAAGCACAAACCAAACCAAAGCAAACGAGUUUCAAACGAGAAGGCAAACAAACCAAACACGACACACAACUCGUAAAUCCCUACACUCUCUCCCCCUUUGGCAUCGAGACGCCAAAAAGACAAAGAGGACACCUACAACACAAGUGGUGGCUCAAGCGGAGUAGUUACUCGCGCGCUCUCCGUCGGACUCGGCAGCGGGGAUGGACUCCUCCUCAGAAUCAGUCCACUUGUAACCUUGUUUGGCCAUACACUCGGCCUCUGGAGUGAUGUGCUCCUCGGAGCCGCCGGAAACUUCCUCUCCAAACACAUUCAUGAUCUUCUUGUCGCGACGGCGACUCUCCUUGGAGGCGACGUGGGUCCGGUACUGCCCCUUAACCUCCAUGCAGAACAAGGCCUUCAUCUUGGCCUUCAGCUUCUUAGCCUAGGAGGGCUCAGUGGAGGAAGGGGCAAGUCUAGUAGGGUGGUCCUCAUCUGCAAUCUCCUCCUCACUUUCCUCCCCAUCAACAGCCAUCUUAGCAGCCGCUGCCUCAGCACGAGUAGUACUGUUAGCCCACUGGGGCUUGAUGCGCAGUCUGAUGGGGUCAUGACGGAUCCAGUCAGGGGCCAGAAACUCAUCCUGAGGGAAUCGCUGCUCCCAAGUCUUCGAGAUCAGCAGAAACAGGUAAGGUCCAUAGAUGGGAACCUUACGGUUGAACUCCGCAAAGCGAAGCUCGCACCACAUGGUGUGGGAAACAUCCAAGGGUUGUGUCUGAGAGAUCCGCGCCUCCUCACAGAGAAGCAACAUGUCCACAAGAUAAGCAUGCACCUUGUCCUUGUCCCCAAUGCGUGGGAAGAGAGAGUUGCGGAAGAUCCGGUGCAUAAUGUCAAGGAAAGGGUUCAGAACCCAUGUCUUCUUGCCGCUUGGAAGGAGUUUCUCAACAUAGUAUGGCAUAAGCUUGUUCUUGUUGGCAGACUCGGGGUUGGCAUGAGGGCGGACACCAACGGGCGUGUUGAGCCCCUCAUCAGGUACAUUGAGCAAAGCCAUGAAUUCCUGCCAUGUAGCAGACAGCUGACGUCCAUUGGUCAUCCAGGUCAACCUCCGAUCCUCCUCAGUGUGAAAGUGAACCGAAGCAAAGAACUGGGCCACAAGCUCGGGAUCAUAGUCCAGGUGAAAAGAGAUCACAUCCUCAAUGGCAAACUGCUCCACGAGAUCCAAGGCCUCACCAAAGUAGGCACGGUGCUUCUCCUCCCGCAUGUGAUUCAUAUCAAUCCAGUGCACGUCCACAUAUGUGUUCUUCUUGCCCUUGAUCACAUCCAAAUAAAUGAGAUUGUGCUGCUUGUUCCAGAACAGAUCAUUGCCUCUGAAGUUGGCACGAGGAUUCACAUAAGGGUUGAUUCUCCUUCGAGCGAGAAACUCUGCCUGCGGAAUCUCAUCCAUGCCCAUGGAGGGCUCCUUCUUCUUGGUGGCGGUAGUCUUGGUCCUGCGUUGGGGGGCAUUGGAGCCCUCUGGGGCUUCAUCUUGGUUGCGCAGACGCUUGGAACCUGUGUCACGGCUGGGAUUGGAACGGCGAGCAGGAGCACCGGAGCCACCACCUAAGACACAAAACACAAACACGCACGAGAAGCGAGACGGAUCAAUGCAAAGACCACAGAAAAAACAGGUGAAACAAGUAGAAUGUGCACUUGGUAGUUGCCAUGAAGAAGAUUUGAGAGCUACGGUAGUACAGCCUGUUCGCGCGGUACUAAAAUUUUAGUGCCGCUCCUAGUCGCAGUAGUACCGUGCGGCAGCACGGUAGUACCGGGGCUCGGAGCGGUAGUAGGACUUUAGUACCUCGGUUCGCGCGGUAGUACCGCGCCUGAGGGGUGGUAGUACCGUACGAGUGGUAGUACCGCACCAGAGACGCGGUAGUACCGCACGACGCCAGAUCUAAACCAAUUUUAAUAUGAGAACAACCGUGAAAACGAGGCGGUACCACGGUUGAUCAAAUAUACCACGGGACACCGUACCAAGUACAAUUCCUAUGCACCACUACUCUCCUACAUCCUACUCUUGCAAAGAUUUGGCCUAAAAUCUCACGAACAACAUGCAUCUCCCCAAAAACCUAGAAGCAAAAGAACGAACCAAAGAGAGAGUGAUUUGGGGAGAAACCUUGUUCCAUGGCAAAAGGAAGUGGUGGGGAACAAUCCCACCAGUCGGAAUCCGAGGAGAGCGGCCGGAGACGGAGAUCCGGCGAGGGCCUCCGGCGCCGUUCUUGUGCAGGAGAGAGAGAGGCAGCGUGGGGAGAAAGAGUGAAUGGGUAUGGGGGAGUUGGAACUUCCCCUGCCCGCUCUUAACCCCCACACGCUCGCCACUACGCGGUAGUACCGCGCGUCAUUGCGGUAGUACCGCCCGGGCGGAAGUACCGCGCCAUGGGCAGUAGUACUGCUCCACCAGCGGCAGUAAAAAGUUACUACCGUACUGGUUGCGGUAGUACCGUGUCCUUGCGGUAGUACCGUGGCAUGCCACGGUAGUACCAUGAACCCAAGAAAAUGCAGUUUCAAACAGAAGAAAGGGGUCUUUGCAAGGAACCUUCAAACGAGCGAACACACCAACGAGACACAGGCACAAGCUCGACACGAAGAAGAAAAGGCAAGAAACAACAAGGACCAAACAUGAGACACAACCUCUCCAAGGAGAGGGCGGUGGCCGGAGCCACCUAUGUUUGAGUCAAUUGGUAUGGCACCGCGAAGAAUUAUCCUUGGGCCCAUGACCAAAAUUCGUCUUUGAAGCACAAGUACCAUAAAAAAUGGCUAAUGUGAAAGAGCUGAUUAAUUUAUGCAUAAUGGGGGGAGGGAGAGUUCAUUGAGAGAACAACACUCCCCUAUGUCCUUGCCUACAUCUAAACUAGACAACAAGUAUAGUGUGGUGGGGUGUGCAAGGGUUCAAGUCACAUUGCUCGAAUCAAUGAUAUUUAGCUCAUGCCUUAACUCGCGAAAUCUUGCUUCAUCCAAGGGCUUCGUGAAAAUAUCUGCAAGGUUAUCAUGAGGGUUGACAUAGUUGAGCUCGACCCCCCCUCUCCUAAUGUGAUCCCGGAUGAAGUGAUAUCGAAUCUCAAUGUGCUUCGUCUUGAAGUGUUGCACCGGGUUGAGAGAAAUCUUGAUGGCACUUUCAUUGUCACACCAAAGAGGCACUUUGUCACAAAUGACACUGUAAUCCUUUAAAUUUGCCUCAUCCAUAAGAGUUGUGCACAACAACUACCGGCCGCCACAUACUCCGCUUCGUAGGACGAGAGAGACACACAACUUUGCUUCUUGGAAGACCAACUCACCAAAGAGCAACCAUGAAAUUGGCACCCUCCGGAAGUGGACUUCCAAUCCACUUUGUCUCCCGCCCAAUCGGAGUCCGAGUAUCCUACAAGCUUGAAGUUUGCUCCUCUUGGGUACCAUAGGCCAAAGUUUGGGGUAUGAGCCAAAUAUCAAAAGAUUCGCUUGACCGCCACAAAGUGGCUUUCCUUAGGUGCGGCUUGAAACCGUGCACAGAUUCCCACACUCAACAUGAUAUCCGGUCUAGAUGCACAAAGGUAAAGCAAGGAGCCAAUCAUGGAGUGAUAUACCUUUUGAUCCACCACUUUACCAUUGGGAUCAAUUUCAAGUUGGCACUUGGUGGGCAUUGGAGUGGAAGCCGGCUUGACAUCACUUAGCUUGAACCUCUUGAGCAUGUCUUGAGUGUAUUUGGCUUGGUUGAUGAAGGUUCCUUCUCUUCUUUGCUUCACUUCGAACCCGAGAAAGAAUUUCAACUCUCCCAUGGAAGACAUCUUGAACUUUGAGGUCAUGAGAGCGGCAAAUUCCUCAUUGAAAGCUUUGUUAGGGGAACCAAAGAUAAUAUCAUCAACAUAUAGUUGGCACACAAACAACUCCCCUUUGACCUUCUUAGUAAAAAGAGUGGGGUCGAUUAGCCCAACUUCAAAUCCACGGUCUUGUAACAACUCGGUAAGGUGGUCAUACCAUGCACGUGGGGCUUGUUUAAGGCCAUAGAGCACCUUAUCGAGUUGAUACACAUGAUUGGGAAAGUAGGGAUACUCGAACCCGGGGGUUGCUUGACAUAUACCAAUUCAUUAAUAUGACCAUUAAAAAAAGCACUUUUCACAUCCAUUUGUUGCCGCUUAAAGUUGUGAUGAGAAGCAUAAGCAAUCAACAAACGAAUGGAUUCAAGGCGGGCAACGGGAGCAAAGGUUUCACCGUAGUCGAUACCAUCGACUUGGGAGUAGCCUUGUGCCACCAAUCUUGCCUUGUUGCGAAUGAUGGUCCCAUGAGCAUCUUGCUUGUUCUUGAAUAUCCACUUGGUUCCAAUGACAUUGUGGUUCCCCGAUGGCCUUGGCACCAAUCUCCACACCUUGUUGUACUCGAAGUUGUUGAGUUCUUCAUGCAUGGCAUUAAGCCAAUCCGGUCCUCGAGCGCCUCAUAUACCUUUUGGGGUUCAACACAAGAGACAAACGCGUGAUGUUCACAAUAGUUUGCCAAUUGUCUACGAGUGCUUACCCCCUUUUGAAUGCUUCCAAGCACAUUCUUCAUGAGAUGACCCUUGGUGGAGAGCUUGGAUGCAAUCUUGGCGGCACGACGCUCCAAUUCCUCCUCGGGGGUGAGUCUAGGAACGGUCACUUGAUCAUCUUGAGCGCCGUCUUCAGCUUGAUCUUGAUAUCGAGGAAGUUCUUGAUCUUGAAAUUGCUCGGAGGAGAGAACUUGACCUUGGGCAUCACUUGAGGUUACAACACCAUCUUGAGAUUGAUCUUGCCCUUGGUCUUGUUCUUGAGGUUGAGGACCUUCACUUUGUUCUUCGGAAGCGUGUGGGCCUUGGGUUGGUGAUAGCUCCACUAGAGUGGAGCAUUGUCCUUCUCCUUCGGCCACAAGGGGUUCCUCAAUGGGUAGGAUAAAACCAACACCCAUUCUUCUUAUGGCUUGAGGAGGAAUUUCAUCAGCUACAUCACAAGUGCCACUUUGCUCCACUUGGGAGCCAUUAUUCUCAUCAAACUCUACGUUACACGUCUCCUCAAUAAGUCCCGUGGACUUACUGAGGACACGGUAAGCAUGAGAGUUUGUAGCAUAACCAAAAAAUAUGCCCUCAUAAGCUCUAGCCUCAAAUUUAGACAAACGAACACCUUUCUUGAGAAUGAAACACUUACACCCGAACACCCGAAAGUACUUGAGGUUGGGCUUGUUACCGGUGAGUAUCUCAUAUGGAGUCUCGUUCAACCCUUUGCGGAGAUAGAGACGAUUUGAUGCAUGACACUCGGUGUUGAUGGCUUUGGCCCAAAAGUUGUAUGGAGACUUGAACUCCGCCAUCAUGGUCCUUGCUGCAUCCAUGAACGUCCGAUUCUUCCUCUCCACUACACCAUUUUGUUGAGGGGUGUAAGGUGCGGAAUAUUGAUGCUUGAUCCCCUCAUCACUAAGAAACUCAUCCAAGGUGUAGUUCUUGAACUCGGUGCCGUUGUCACUCCUUAUUGUCAAGAUCUUUGCAUUGUGUUGACGUUGGGCUUCAUUUGCAAAGUUAAUGACGGUUUGUUGGGUCUCACUCUUCCUCUUGAAGAAAUAUACCCAAGUGUAUCUUGAAUAGUCAUCCACAAUCACCAAGCAAUACUUUCUACCCCCAAGACUAUCAAAGCAUGGAGGCCCAAAGAGAUCCAUGUGAAGGAGCUCCAAAGGCCUCUUCGAGUAAAUGAUAGUCGUGGGAGGGUGAGCCUUUUCAUGUAGCUUUCCUUCGAUACAAGCACUGCAAGCACGAUCUUUAGGAAAACUAACAUUUGUUAGUCCACGGACAUGGUCCCCCUUGAGAAGACUUUGCAAAGAUCUCAUAUUGACAUGGGCUAAAAGGCGAUGCCAAUGCCAUCCCACGUCAACUUUAGCCAUUAGGCAUGUCGUGGUCUUAGUGGGUCGCUCCGAAAAGUUAAUCACAUAGAGACCGUUCUCGACAUGCCCAACAAAGGCUACUUUAAGAGUCUUGCUCCACAAGAGGGCCACGGUAUCAACAUCAAGGAAAGUGGCAAAGCCCAUGAGUGCAAGUUUUUGAAUGGAAAGCAAAUUGUAUGCAAGGGACUCAACAAGCAUGACUUUCUCGAUCGUGAGAUCAUGAGAAAUGACAACCUUGCCGAGUCCCAAUACCUUAGAGAACGAGGCAUCACCCCACUCGACAUUGGUGGGCAUAGAUGGUAUCUUGUGAACAUCCACCACCAAGUCCUUGCUCCCGGUCAUAUGAUUAGUUGCUCCAUUAUCGAGCAACCAUGAUCCCCCACCGGAAGCAAACACCUACAAGAAAUCAAUGCUUGGUUUUAGGUACCCAUUUUGUAAUGGGUCCUUUGAUGUUAGUAAAAAGGGUCUUAGGAACCCAAAUAGACCAUUCAAUUUACUCAUAAGGAGAACCAACAAAUUUGGCAUAAACAUGCCCAUCGCUAGCACGGCACAACACAUAAGAAGGGUUAAAGUCGUCGGCUUUGUUGGAAGGGGUGACAUUGCCUUUCUUGACACCACCACCCAUCACAUUGUUCUUCUUUUCCUUGGAAGCACCCUCUCCCUCCUUCACAAAGGUUUGCUUGAGAGGGGGAGGUCGUUUGGUCUUGUCAUUCUUCUUCUUGUUCUUGGGCAUGGGUGCAAACCCAAUUCGUUCUUUGGCCACAACUUCCUUUUGAUUGCUCAAAAGGCCGUUGAGGUUCUUCUAAUCGUGUAUGCACGACACAAGGCCUUUCUCAAGUUGCUCCUUCAACUUAGCAUUCUCCUCAACAAGAUGCACAUGCUCACAACAAGGGUUAGUAGCAUUUGCAUUAUCAAUUAACACCAUAUGAGGAAAGGUGGCUUUCUCCUUGGUUAGCUUCACUUGGAGUUGAUCAUGAGACUCCUUGAGGCUAGCAUGAACACCUUUCAAGGCCUUGUGAGCCUUGUCAAGUAUAUCAAACUCCUCCUUGAGUCUAGCAAGAUCAACCCCAAGUUUUGCCUUCUCAGAAUUUAGCACAUGAGAUACAACAAGAGCAUGAUCAAGAUCUUUCUUUCAUUUAGCACGAUCAUCGUUGUGUGAAUCCUCAAGAGCCAAACGAAGACCAUGCUCUUCCUCGAGAGCAUUGGAAAGAUCCGAAAUCUCAUCGGCAUAGUCACGACUAUGCCCCUCCAUCUUAGAGAUGGUAUCUUCUCGAGCCUCGAUCAUGUCACUGGCUUCACCAAGUUGUUCCAAGAGAGCAACGAAGUGCUUCUUGGGUGUACCCUUGAGUUUGUUCAUAAAAGACUCAAACUCAUUCUCCUCCACAUUAGACCCCUCAUGUUCAUCAAUGCAAUCCGUCAAAGAGGGAUUAUUAAUGAUGGUAUUUUUGAUGUUGGGGGUUACCUUGUUCGUGGCUUUAGCCAUGAGGCACUUGGCGGUGAUGUUCUCAUUAGGGGAGUCGAAGAGAGACACCCGUGGAGUUGUUGCAAUGGCAACGGAGGCCAUGGCAACUGACUCACCAUCUUCAUCAUCAUCAUCAUCAUCCUCAUGGUACUCUUCUUGUACCACCAACGCCUUGGGAGGAGUCUUCUUGGUGAAGUUGCUCUUGUUAGAGAAAGACUUGGCCUUGUCCUUCCGGAUGAGCUUGCCACCAUUGUCUUCCCUUUUCUCAUAAGGGCAUUCUGCAACAAAAGGGCUCACAUUGCCACAAUUAUUGCAAGUCCUCACACGUUGCUUGACCUUCGCGCCACUUGAGUUGCUCUUGUUGAAGUUGGGCCUUCUGUUCUUCUUGCUCCAAAAUUGCCUUGAGGAAAGAGCCAUGUGUUCAUGAUAAGCAUACUUCAUAUCUUCGGGGUUGCUUUCCUCUUCUUCCACUUCUUCUUCUUCUUCUUCUUCAACACAAACCUUGGCCUUCAACGCAAGGUUGGGCUUCUCUGCCCUUUGAGAGCGAAGCACCGCAUUGUCGGCGGUCUUGUCCAAGAUGCUCAUAGCCACAAACUCAUACAACACUUCACUUGAGGACAAGGUGUGGAAGUCCGGCCUUUGACGAAUGACGGAGGACAUGGCCUUGUGGUAAGGCAUCAUUGCCUUGAGUAAUUUGCGAUUGAUCCAAUUGUCAUCCGUGCCCUUGCUCCCAUGAUCUCGGAGUGAAACCGCGAGUUUGGUUACUCUCCGAUAAAGCUGACGAGGUUCUUCAUCUUCUUUCAUUGCAAACUCGUCGGCUUCAUCUUGCACCACUUCAUAGUUGGAGCGUUGAAUGCUUGCGCUUCCCCGGUAGAGGGAAACAACUUGGUGCCCUGCAUCUUUGGCCAUGGCGUAGGGCCGGAGGUGAGGAAGAUCUUCGGGUGGAAUUGCAUCUUGGAUGAUGGAGAGAGCAUUCUCAUUGAAUUGAUUAUCCGCGGCUUCUAUAGGAGUGAAGUUGCUUCGGUCAUGCGGAUAGAAACCUUCUUCAAUGAUUCUCCAAAGAUUAGUAUUCACAUGAUUUAAGUGACGCUUAAACCGAUAGACCCAAGAAUCAAAGUCCUCAUUUUUCACAAUCUUAGGGGGAGGACCGGCAUGAUUCAAAUGAGUAGAAGGAAUCGGUCCACCAUAAACAAGUGGGGGUUCCACAUGGGAGAAGAUGCCGGUGCCAUUCUUACCACUAGAAGAAGGAGCCUUUUCACUAGUAGCUUCCCCCUUGUCGGAGUUAGCAUCCGUCACCUUGUUAGUGGGAUCACCCACUUUCAACGAUGCGGUAGAUAGUUUAAGCCCUUCAAUGAAUUUAUUAAACAUGCUUUCAACCUCGGUCAUCAUGGAGGUUUUCAAUGUGUCCAGAGCCACAUUGAAUUCCUCACAAGAGACCGAGGUUCCCCCAUCGCCCGUAGAUGAGAACGGAUUCACACCUGAGUGCUCCUCCACACCGUCUACGGUGUCAACCAUACUCUUCGGACGGCAAAGUCCUUAAUAAAGAGACGAGGCUCUGAUACCAAUUGAAAGGAUCGAUAUAGUUGACUAGAGGGGGGGGGGUGAAUAGGCAACUAACAAUUUUCAACUUUUCUUUACCAAAUUAAACGUUGCAUCGAAGUAGGUUGUCUAGAUAUGCAACUAGGUGAGCAACCUAUAUGAUUCAACAACAACAAGCACACAAGCAAGCAAGGGAAAUAACACAAGAAGCUUGCACAAGUAAAGGCACGAGAUAACCAAGAGUGGAGCCGGUGAAGACGACGAUGUGUUACCGAAGUUCCUUCCUUUUGAGGGGAAGUACGUCUCCGUUGGAGCGGUGUGGAGGCACAAUGCUCCCCAAGAAGCCACUAGGGCCACCGUAUUCUCCUCACGCCCUCACACAAUGCGAGAUGCCGUGAUUCCACUAAUGGUGCCCUUGGAGGCGGCAACGGGACCUUUACAAACAAGGUUGGGGCUAUCUCCACAACUUAAUUGGAAGCUCCCAACGACACCACGAAACUUCACCACAAUGGACUAUGGCUCCGCAGUGACCUCAACCAUCUAGGGUGCUCAAACACCCAAGAGUAACAAGAUCCACAAGGUAUUUGUGGGGGGAAUCAAAUUUCUCUUGGUGGAAGUGUAGAUCGGAGCCUUCUCAACCAAUCCCUAGAAAAUCAACAAGUUUGAUUGGCUAGGGAGAGAGAUCGGGCGAAAAUGGAGCUUGGAGCAACAAUGGAGCUUAGGGUUCGAAGAGGUGGUCAACUCGGGGAAGAAGACACCCCUUAUAUAGUGGAGGGACAAAUCCAACCGUUAUCCACCAACCCAUUAUGCGCAGCACGGUACUACCGCGCCAGGGCCGCGGUACUACCGCAAGCACAUGCGGUACUACCGCAAGCACAUGCGGUACUACCGCAGGGCCUUGCGGUACUACCGCCCGAGCAGCACAGACCUGGACAGCCCAAUAUCACUGAAGCGGAGGGCGGUAGAACCGCUUGUGCGGUACUACCGCACCACCCAGCGGUACUACCGCGAGGCAGGGAAGUUCCAGAAAACGAGAUGGCACGGACAUAAAAAAUUACAUCUGUGGCAACUUCCGUUGAGUUGGAGUCGACGCAUAAAUCCGACACGGUAGUACAGCAUGAGGAGCGGUACUACCGCGUGGCGGCUGAGCCAGGCCAGGAGGCGCGGUACUACCGCGCACAGGGCGCGGUACUACCGUGUAGGGCGCGGAUGUAAAAAAUUACAUCCGCCCCUACUACUGCUGCGCAGCAGCACUUGGCCUGGGGGCCACGGUACUACAGCUCCUGAGGAGCGGUACUACGGUGGGCUCCUGCGGUACUACCGCACCAAGGUCCGGUACUACCGCAGGUGCCUGCGGUACUACCGCUCCAGGGAGCAGUACUACCACAUGCCCAAGCUCAGCAACCAAGAGAAUUUUCUGUGAGGUCUCACUUAAUUCUAAGAAUCCUUAGGAAUUAGGCCAAUCUGAAUACAAUCCUAAGGAAUGUAGUACACCAAUUCCUGUUAAAUGAAUGCCAUACAUAGGGAAAAAUUCUUGAGGUUCAAAAUCCUAUGAGAAUCCUCCAAAAAUCGUACAAACUGAAUGAGCAUUGAGAGUACUCCUAAGAUACUUCUGAGGUUCAAAAGUCAUGGCUUAAUUAAGGUUCAUUGAAAAGCUUCCAUAGCCAUUUUGCUCACUGUGAUAUGUUCAUAAUGUUUAAGUCUAGAAUACCCAACUAUAUAUAAGUUUUUGGGAGAUAAAUCUUAGGCCAACCCACUAAAAUUGCAUUUCCUCUUAAGCUUAUCACCACUCCAUAACAAUCCAGCCAUGCUCAUACCCCCUUCUUGCUUGAUCCCUUGAGGAACCAUUUAGAGUGAGAGCAUGUACAACGGAAUGACGCCAAUUACAUCAUGUUUUAUUAGCAUAAUUAUAACUAAGGAAUGGUAAUUGAAGGGGUAGAAGACUUUAAUUUUUUUGACUGAUUAGGGGGGUUGAGAACUAGGAAGGACUAGGCAUGGGAAUUGAGACUCUAACUCUCGUUUAUUAAGAGGGUAGGGGGUGGGAGUUGGAAAGGAACACUUCAUUAUAACUUACAUAAUCUUCCCUUAUCUAGUCCCUCAUAAAAGAAGCUAGGGUUUGAGGUUCAGCUGGCGGGGACUUUGCAGGUUCCACUCGUCUCCGACCACCGUGUUGUGAGGUGAGGGGGCCUUAUGUAACGCCCCCGACAGACCCGCCGGUGGUCGUUACUCCUGAUGGGAUCUAGACUGGCCCCACAGAUCAAUACUAGUCUUUUCUGUGCACUUUGUCCUCAGUCGUACGCACUCGGGAGCAACUUCCCGGUCGGUCACCCAUCCUAAAACUACUCCAAGCUGAGCGCGCUUAACUUUGGAGUUCUGUCCGAAUGGGCUCCCGGAAAAGAAGGAAUUCCUUAUUGAUAUGAGCAGUCUAUCAUCCCUAAUAAGCCAGGAUAUCACAUACAUCCCCACUCAGAGGAACCGACAUCCUCGUCGGGCCACAGGAACGUUCCCUCUUGGCACAUACCUCUGUGCUUCCAAUCCCGCAUAUGUGCCAUGCCGUGUGCCACGACGGGUCACAAACGUCAUGCACAACAUGACCGCGCACCUGUCCGCAAACAUCCGUGUAACCGCGAGGGUCGGCUCUGAUACCAACUUGUAACGCCCCGGACACACCCGCCUGUGGUCGUUACUCCUGGCGGGAUCUAGACUAGCCCCACAGUUCAAUACUAGUAUUUUCUUUGCACAUUGUCCUCACUCGUGUGCACCCGGGAGCAACUUCCCGGUCGGUCACCCAUCCUGAAACUACUCCAAGCUGAGCACGCUUAACUUUGGAGUUCUGUGCGAAUGGGCUCCCGAAAAAGAAGGAAUUCCUUAUUGAUAUGAGUAGUCUAUCAUCCCUAAUAAGCCAGGCUAUCACACCUUAGAUCUUCGUAGGCAUACUUACAAGUUAGUUUAGCAUGGUUCCUAUGGUCUUCAUCAGCAACAUCUGGGGGGAGGGUGCGAUGCCAUCGGGAAUAAAGGUAUUCUGGUUCUUCUCCAACUAUAGCGGUAUCUUAUCGGGUGACGCCAUUGAGUUUUUGGUGUGUCUGUCAUUGAGGAUUUUAUGCGUAUGUCCUCAAAGAUUCGUUCAUCUGGAUUUGAUUAGUCUGUGUUACACUACUAGGGAAAACCCUAGUAGUAGCAUGGGUUUAAUGCCCACUAGUAGCGCGGGCAGCCGCGCUACCAAUAAGGCACUACAUCUAUUACUUAGCAGUAGCGCAUGCGACAAGCGCUACUGCUAAGACACAUAGCGGCAGCGCUUGUUCUAUCCCGCGCUGCUGCUAAUCUAGCUAGUUGUAGCGUGUUUACUAUCCAUCGCUACUAGUACUAUUAUUUUCAUUUUUAGUGUAUUAUACGCCGUUAUACAAAUUUUGGUACAAUACCAAUUAUGAGGUUUAUAUCAUUGUGUCCAUAACAAUGUGUCAAAUGAAGGUGGAUUAGGUUCAAGUGGAGGCAAUAUGUGGUGCAUGUCAAAAGUAUACUACUAAUCCAAACUUGAUCUAGUUUGGACUAGUAGUACUUUCGAUGUGCACCACAUGUUGCCUCCACUUGAAUCUAAGCCGCCAGCACAAGCUAUUUAAUCAUCAUCAUAGUCAUUACCACCAACAGUAUUUAUUUAAUCACCAUAGUCAUAGUGUAGCACAUCAUCAUCUUCAAACUCAUUCUAGCUAGCUAUUCACCACCAACACUAGAUGCGGUAGCUAUCUAAUCACCACCAACACUAGAUAAUAAUAAUCAUCAUAGUCAUUACCACCAACAUUGGCUAUUUAAUCAUCAUAGUCAUAGUGUAGCACAUCAUCAUCUUCAAACUCAUUUCUAGCUAGCUAAUCACUCCUGCUGCUCUCUCCUAGGUAAAAUAACAUAAAACAUGUGUAGCUCUCCUCCUUCAUCAAGUUGGAGCAUGCAGAUGAACCUGUCUCCUACUCGUGGGUUGCGCUUCUGAUUGCUGCCCCCUAUUACUUCUCUGCGCUCCUCCAUCACAAAUUUGGUCUAGUCUUUCACUAUUAAGACUUCCUCGCUCUUAGAAAUCCUGAAUGCACUAAAGUGCAUUGUAGGAUAUCUUGGCCGUAAGCUAACAAUACUCAUGGCACCAUUAGUCUCGAUCCCAUGAGGCACAACAUUCAUCGGGAGUCCCUGUUGAAGAACAUCGUAUAGUAACAUACUUAGCAAUGAAGUUUAGCUUAAAAAAUAAUGUAUGCAAAAGAUGCACUAAGGAAAAAUAGUAAAAAUCUUACCAUCUUUCCUAAUAGAUAUGACCGUAGUUCAUUACGAACACUAUUGGUCGCACGUUUUCUAAGUGCAGGAAGAAAAUUUGUCUUGACAGUAUCAAGAUCCUCAAGCCAUGAAACAUAAUGACUUAGCUCCUCGCAGUUUAGUUCAGCCCCGGGAUAGUAGUAGGUCCUGUCUACCAAGCGCUGGACAUGUUUGCUUGAACCGAAAUAAGCUGACAAUAGAAAUUAGUUGUCAACUAUUUUUGAAUAAACAAUAUCAAAGACAUAAAUAUGGUUGAGAAACUCACAUAAUAAUAUAACUGGAGGCGUCUGCACAUCGACCCAGAUGUUGGUAUUACCUUCAAUAUCAUCUUUCGGACGAAUAUCAAAGGUCAUAACCAUAUCAGGCUCAAAUGCAUAAGUCUUGCAUAGUGCUCGCCAAGUUUUGCAUCCAAAAUAGGUGUAGUCGUCUGCGUUGUAUAGUUUUGCGUGGAAAAUAUAACCAUGCUCGGUUUUCAAGUAAACUUUCUUUACCUCCAUAGUACGACUGAAACCUAUCUUAUCCAAGACAAAAACUCUUGCAUGGCAGGGGAUACGCUAGUAGAAUAGUAAAAAAAUUAAAUUAUAAGUUGAAGCAAAUGAAGCAGAUGUCAUGCUUAAUUACGAAAAAAGACUUGUCGUUGUGAGUUACUGUAUCCACUUCGAAGUUCAUGUCCAGCUUGAUGCUGAAGCGCCUAUCAUCAUCUAGGAAGAUUCCGUCGCACAUGCAGCGCUUGUCUUCGCAGUAUUUGCAAAUACAUAAUCCUUUUCGUUGUCAGACAUUUCCUAUGUUCAUAGUUGAAACAUUAAUUGAAAAUCGAUCGAAGACAACUCCAGGAUACUCAAAAUAUCUUAUAGGACUCAUAUUGACAUGAGCAUUCAAUAAGCAAAACCAAAUCGUAAAAUAAAUAAGUAUUCAAAUUAGCAUGCAUUCAAUAAGCAAAAGUAAAUCAUCUCAUGCGUCCGUACAUCAUCGAAUAUUAUCACUAAUACAUCCCGAAUAGUAUCAUACAUAUAACAUCACUAAUACAACUAAAACCCUAGCGCACGACGGGUAUCGGCGCGGGCGGUGGACACCCAAAGAGAAGGAACCAUCACAGGAUCAUAGCUCCAGUGAGAUCCUUGGAGAACCUGCCAGGUAUUGGAGAACAUGUGCUCCAACGCAAACAAGUAGCGACGGACGUGCGCGUCCUCCUCACUGACACGGUGACGCACCACCUCCGCGGGGUCCUCGAGCCUCUGGACCGUCACUGGCCCACGCGACCGGCACCAAAGAAGGUUCGGGUCAACGACAGGCUGGCUCCUCACCAACCUGCGCCCCUCGGUAGGUAGCACCUCCCAGUACCACCCCGGCGGAGCCCAGUCCCGGACAUGGCCCAUCUGGUGACGCAUGUGUCCUCCGCCGACUCGACGACGAGGAUGCGGGAUAGGCAUCGUCGACGUCGAUGCGCGGAAAAUUGCUUUAACUAAAAAAUUAACAACAAAUGUGACAUGUUCAACUAGUUCUAUUAAUUCAACUAGUUCUUACUGUAGAAAUGCAUGCUCUAGCCAAUGCAACCAAAAGACCGGUCUGAUGGAAGAGACUAGGCAACACAUUAUACGUCAACACUCCCCCUCACGUGUGGCUCCCUCGGGCCUAAACGUGGACCGAAAGUGGGCUGCAAUUUUAAUUGCGCCAGCCGGGUCUUGAACUCAAGACCUCUUGGCUCUGAUACCAUGUAGAAGUGCAUGCUCUAGCCAAUGCAACCAAAAGACCGGUCUGAUGGAAGAGACUAGACAACACAUUAUACGUCAACACUUACGAUUAAAUCUAGUCAAUUAAUUCUAUACCUAAUAAAAUGAAUAAUGACAUAAAAAAAAGGCCUAUGCUUUGCAGGAACGUUGACUCCUUCCCGGUGUGGCAAAUCCCGGGCACUCUAUAUGUCCUAGUUUGUAGCACAAGUCAUGCCGAAAUUAACGGAAAAUUUCGGCAUGACUUUUGCUAAAAAGUGGACAAAUCGAGAACCUGAAAUUUGUCGGAACGGAAAUGAAUCAACAUUCCGGCAAAAUAUAGGCCACUCGGCUUCAUUUCCUGGAAACAACAAAGCCACUUGGGCACAAUCGAACCACUUCAAUAAUGGAAUAUGCAAAUGAGCAUCAAUGACAUAUAUCAUAUAACAACAAUAUGCAAAUGAAAUUACUGUUUAGGCAUUUUCAUAAAAAAUUGCCUUAGCUAAUUUCCUAAAAAAAUUGCUAAUCAUUUUUCCUAAAUGCUAAAAAAUGCCUACUGCCCUAAACAAAUAUAGGGUUCAUAUGAACACCUAGGGUUCAUAUGAACAUCAACACAGCAUCAACACAUAUAUAAAUUGCCCUAGCAGAGAGAGAGAGAGAGAGAGGAGGGUAGGGGAGAGGAGAGGCAGAGCCUUACGGUGACUGCGGCGAGGGAGGGGCAGGCGGCGUUGAGGUCGGGGUCGGGGCUCGGGCGCGCGGCGGAGGGCGGCGUCGAGGUCGGGGUCGGGGGAGGCGUCGAGGUCGGGGGCGGGGGCGGCGUCGAAUCCGGGGUCGGGGGCGGCGUUGAGGCGGGAGAGCGACGGGAAAACGCACAGCGGCCGACGGGCGACGGCGGUGGCGACAGCGGAGGAGUUGCGAUUUGGGGGAAGUGGCCGUUGAGAAAAAUGAAUCGAGCGGUUUAGUCAGAAGUAGCAGUAGCGCAUUCCGGGAAGUGCGCUACUGCUAACAUAGCUACAGCGGCGUUCCUGGAUACGCGCUACUGCUAUACCAUUCUCUUUUCUCCACUUUUUCAUUUAUUUUUCUUUACAUUUUAUUUUUUUCCUUCCACCUUUUUGUAUUUCUUUCAUUUUCAUUUACUUUUCUAUUUGCUUUCCAUUUUAUUUUAUUUACUUUAGCAGUAGCGCCUCUCAGCGUAAACGUGCUGCUACAAAGCAAAUAGCGGUAGCGCGGUUCGGCGAAGAUCGCUACUACUAUGUGCAGCCUAUCAGCUAGGCCGUGGGAAUUUUAGUAGUAGCGCUUUUGUACUCGGGCGCGCUACUGCUAUAACUGUAUCUGUAGCGCCGUUUACAACACCGCACUGUUGCUAAUUAGCACCAGCGUGCGUUUUUAGCCCGCGCUACCGCUAAUGUUCUGUGUAUAAGGUUUUCCCUAGUAUUGUUAGUACUUUUGGUUGCUUUUAUUGCAAUGAACCAUCGUGAGUUUGGAGUCACUUGUUGUUAUGUUGAAGAUCUUGUAGUUCGACGACUUAUACCUCCAGCGGAUCAUUCUUGACCCAAGUACAUUCAACAUGUAUAGGAGUGGCAGUGUUGCCGAUUCGAUAUGAACCGUGUUAUUUUGGAGUCAGUUGUUGUUAUGUUGAAGAUCUUGUAGUUCGACGACUUAUACCUCCAGCGGAUCAUUCUUGACUCAAGUACGUUCCACAUGUAUAGGAGUGGCACUGUUGCCGAUUCGAUAGGAACCGGUGUCAGUUUGGAGUCAGUUGUUGUUAUGUUGAAGAUCUUGUACUUCGAUAACUUAUACCUCCAGUGGAUCAUCCUUGACUCAAGUUCAUUCGACAUGUAUAGGAGUGGCAGUGUUGCCGAUCCGAUCUAACUACAGUUUCUUUGCUGAAGCCUUGGCAAUAUUUCAUGUUAUAAAGAUAGAUACCCUGGAGAAGAUGUUUCUGAGAUAUCAUUGUAAUUCUUAGUUAUAUGAGUUAUCUUUUUGCAAAGCUUAGUUAUAUGAGUUGCUCUGUAGUUUCUUGAAUCUAUGAUCCAAUUUUUUUUACCUAUAAUAUUCGUAAAGUUUGAAUAAAAUUACGAGUCAUUCUAAACAAGAUAUAGUCUUCAUCAUCUCCCCUGCGAACCAAACAAAGGAAUAAAAUUGCUCCUCUAAGUUCCACACAUAUUUUUUACUAUGAAAAUAACCAUCGCAUGUCUAAUCCCAAUACAACUCCUUUCCUAAACUCUCAUUCUCUUGUUCAAAUAUCAAAUAUGUGCCGCCCUACGCAUCUGCUGAUUGAUGCCUUGAAAAGAUCGACCGCUUCCCAGACCGUUGGAUCGAGCCAGAGAUAACCCUCAGAUCUUUCAACCAGCUCAAUGUUGCGGUCGUCUCUCCACAACAACGGCCUUGUUGUAAUCUUUUUUUCUUCCAAUCUCUGAAGUCUGAAAACAAAUCUUUGUUGCGCUUGGUCUUUUUGCAACAAGAGUCUUGUUGCAAAAAUAUUUUCCAUUUUCUUUUACAACAGAAGGCAUUUUACAUAAUCCUUUUGCAACAGAGAUCCUGAUGCAGAAGAGGAAUAAGAAGGAUGGAGUUGUGCAGGAUCCACACGGGACAUGCGUCAUUGCUGCAAAAAAAUAUUUUAUUUGCAAGGCAUAUUGUAGAAUCGUUUUGCAACAGAGGUCGCAAACAGGGAUAAGAAGGAUGGAGCGGUCCGGGGUCUACAUGGAAAACGUGUCACGCGCUAGAGGCGGUGGAAGCCCAAGCGGAAAACGUGUCACGCGCUAGAGGCGGUGGAAGCCCAAGGGAAAAAACAGAGGCACCUCUCCUUAAUUCCACUGCACCAACCACUGCCGUUGACUAGCAGCAUCCUUCUCGACUUAGGUUGUUCCCAGGUUAGUGCUUUCCCCACUCCCUCGAUUUCAUCGGAUGAUUUUGUGGAACAGCUCUGUCGUACUGUCUUGUUUGCACUUGACGACCUUUUGCUCUGUGCCCAAAUCUAAAUUACCAUGUAGAUCUUUGCUGUAUGAGCUGGAAAAAAACGUUCAUGCCAAACUAUCCCAUUAUCCUUAUCUCUAUUGUAUUUUGGAUCUUAUUCGUAGAGGUAAAAAAUAAGGAGAAGAUGAUUUAAACUGCUCAGAAGCCUGUACUGUUGCUUAUUCGACCCGUAAAAUAUACUGAUAGAAGUUUUAUUUCCUUCUGUAACAGCAUGGAGGAUGCAAAUUCGGUGCCAACGGUUAUGCCACUCGAUUUAUUACGGGAGAUUACGGAUGGUUUCUCCGAGGAGCGGAAGCUUGGUAGCGGUUCAUAUGGAAAGGUGUACUUGGUAAGAUUAAUUGUGUAUAUGGCUUGCUGACAUCAGUAGUAUCAUACAACUAUACGCUACCACCAUUUAGACGAACAGGAAUAUGGUGAUUUUGUCAUUGUAAAAGAUCGGUGACCCUCCUUCUCUAAAAAAAAAACAUCCCCGUCAGCAUGAUGUCCCAGUGCUUCUUCAGAUGACCAGUUCCUGCACCAAUGAAGAAAGCUAUAUCUGUUUCUCUACUGAUCUUGUUAAUUGAUUUACUCACAUAUUGUCAUGUAGCAGUAAAUGUUUUGCAUCGCCGCAUUUGACCACAGCAUUUUCUGUUUUACUAUAUGAACUGAAAAUUAAACGAUGUGAAAUGUUGAGUAGGGAGUGCAUCAAAACGGGGAAAAGAUUGCUGUGAAGGUGCUCUAUGAUAUGCCUGGAGUUGACGAUAAACACUUUCAGAACGAGUUUAAAAAUCUUACAAGGCUCCAGCACCCAAACAUUGUGCGCUUAGUAGGCUAUUGCCAUGAUAUUCAGGAAGUACAAGUAAUGCAUGAAGGGAAAUUGGUUCUUGCUGAAAAGACACAUAGGGCGCUCUGCUUGGAGUAUAUGUCUAAUGGAAGCCUUGAAAAGUAUCUUUCUGGUAAUGUUGAUGUUCUCCUUUUUUCCAGUUAGCAUGUUAAGGUAUCGUUCUUAAAAUUUACAUCCUGAGAAUUCUCCUUAUUUGGUGCUGCAGAUGAAUGUGAUAGAUAUGAUUGGCAGAAAGGCUAUCAAAUAAUUAAGGGGAUUUGACAGGGUUUAAAUUACCUCCACAAUGAAUUAAAACCUCCUAUGUAUCAUUUUGAUUUAAAGCCAGCCAAUAUAUUGCUGGAUGAGGACAUGGUUCCCAGAAUUGCAGAUUUUGGGAUAUCAAGGCUCUUCAGAGAUGAACAGACACGAGCUACAAAAAGUAGUUUAGGAACAAUGUAAGAAUUCUUCGUGUGAACUGAAAAUUAAGGUAACUUUGUUUUGGAUCAAAUGUAUAGUAUAAGUAACAUUUAUAUAUGUUGUGUGAUGCAGUGGGUACUUACCGCCGGAAUACAUUAAAAACAAUUUGAUCUCAAAUAAGUUCGAUAUAUUCAGCUUAGGUGUUGUAAUCAUAAAGAUAAUGGCAGGACGUGUGGGCUACUUCAAUAGUACUGACAUGUCUUCCCAAGAAUUCAUUAAUCUUGUAAGAGAAUAUGUUUUCUUACCAAGAGAUGUGUAUGCAUUUCAUAAGUAAUACUUUGGUUAUCCUAAUAUAUUGCCAUUCUUUUUGCUAUAAAUCUGUAGGUGCAGAAAAACUGGACGAAUAGGCUAGUUGAAACAUCGAAUCUGAGGAACGCAUAUUCCGAGCAAGUAAAGAUAUGCAUUGAAAUCGGGUUAAGUUGUGUGCAGGAGGAUCGACACAAAAGGCCAGCUAUACAUGAUAUUGUCCAUAGACUGCACGAGACAGAAACUAAGUAUUUUGCGGCAAGGAUGGACUUGUUCAAUUUCCAGGUAUGUACUGAUCGCUAUUAACACAGUGUCAUCGUCUUAAACUGUACACUUCUGACAAGCUGACAUGUGGGGCCAAACUGCUGCGUGUGUUGCUGUUGAACAGCUGAUGCUCUGCAUGUUUCUGAACUUUAUUUGUUUGAUGUGCGCCUGUGCAUGAAGUCCUUUGUUUGAGCUAUUCAAUUUGUUCUUUUGAUUGUGUCAUGAAACUGAGUUCAAUUUUGUACUUUCUAUCAAAUUUACUAUUAGACAUUUAUUACAAUGUUCAUGCUGAGCUGCCGUUGGGUAUGGGUAGACACUGGCACUUGUUAGCAUGUCGGGCAUGUGUAUGGGGUUGUUAUGCCACCCUAUACCUAACCCAUUGCCAUCUUAAAUCCAAUCCAGUGGACCAGUAAUAUUUUGAUGAUUUGAAGCCCCCUUUUCUUGGCUCUGCUGUUAGUUGGCAGUUUGGCACAUAUAGAUUUCGAGCUCCUUUACGGUGAUUGGGGCGGUACUGGGAGUACUUUUGAGUACUUACCCCUCGGAUUUUUAUUAGCCGUCCGAUCUGGUGGGGGAUUAAGAAUGAAUUAACUUAAUUAGUUUAAUCAGAGAAGGGCAUAAUGUUCCAGGGUAAAAAAAAGUCAACCGAUCACGUCCACGACCGGAACCACGUAUAGAUCUAGUAGCUCGGUCAAGUCCUCCUUCUCGUCCUCUUCCUUCUGUCCAACGAGCCCGGCGAGAGGAACCAAUUCACCGUCGUCGGCGUCGUUCUCGUCCUCUUCCUUCUGUCCGACGAGCCCGGCGAGAGGAACCAAUUCACCGUCGUCGGCGUCGUUCUUCGUCCUCCUCCUGGUCCCCUUCACUAUAAAAGACGUGGUCGGCGGCAGGAAGAAGAAUAAGGCGUGACAUCUGCGGCGGCAGUGUUGGCGGCGACGGCGGCGGCGGUAUAGGAGAAAGCCCCCCGCUGAUCCCAUCGCUUCCGGACUUGCAUCUUAAGGUAUGAAUCGCCCGAAUCUCGACUUACUUUGAUUCGUAGUCUGCACUUCCUACUUAGAUUUGUUUAGUCAUCAUCGAUUUAAGUUUCCCUAGUGCAUGCAAUUCAAUUUAGAAUUUUUCAUCAUCCAUGGUCACUUCACUAGUUUACGGGGGACCCAGUUUAUGGACGUUUAUGAUUGCUUGCCAUAACAUGUACAAGGAGCAAAGUUUAAAAUUCCAUGCAAGAUUUCGUACUAGGUUUUGCAUGCAUUUAUGUCUGUCCUUUCAGAUUUUUAUUCGUCCGAAUUGUGAUGCAGGAAGACAUGGUGGACGUAAGUCACGAGUCAAUGAUGGAGUACUAUCAUAUUGCCAACAAGAUGUUUAAUAGUGAGGAUGAAGGUUAUACAUUCUAUAACAAAUAUGGUCUUGAGAAAGGUUUUAGUGUCCGGAGAAGCUAUGUCGAGUGGGAUGGAUCCAACUGCCAUAUAAUUUUAAGGGAAUUUGUGUGUAGUCGUGAAGGGGUUCGUGAAGAGAAGCACAUGAAGAGGAAGAUGGAAGAUAGAAAGAGGAGGCCACGGAGUAUAACUCGUGUAGGGUGUAAAGCUAAAUUGGUGAUUGCAAGACAGGAGGAAACAUGUCAGUGGUUUCUCAAGGAUUUCAUCGAUGAACACAACCAUCCUCUAGCCCCACGGGAUCUGUCGUGUCUUUUGCGUUCACACAGAAGAAUUAGCGAUGAGCAGAAAGCGGACAUUGCAGAGAUGGAAAAAUCUGGGAUCAGAAAACACCAUAUUAUGGAUAUUAUGUGCAUGCAAUACGGUGGAUAUGAUGAGGUUGGAUGCAUUAUGAGGGACAUUUACAAUUUCUGCCAUGCUAACAAGCAGGAAACAAUUUCUUGCGGGGAUGCUCAAACGGUGAUCAAUCACAUGGUGGCGAGGCAAGAGCAAGAUUCAGAUUUUUUCUUCAGGUACUUGGUUGAUGAAGCUGGCCAUCUGAAGGGACUGUUCUGGUGUGAUAGUCAAUCCCGACUUGACUACGAGGCUUUCGGAGAUGUUAUUGUUUUUGAUAGCACAUACAGAACCAAUAAGUACAAUCUGCCAUUUGUGCCGUUUGUCGGGUUAAAUCACCACCGCAUCACCGUUAUUUUUGCAUGUGGUAUCAUUUCACAUGAAACAAGCCAGGCAUAUGAGUGGAUGUUACAGACCUUUUCUGAUGCUAUGGACAGAAGCAUCCUAUAUCUGUGAUCACGGAUGGGGACCUUGCAAUGCAAAGAGCAAUCAGGGUGGUGUGGCCUGACUCAAACCAUGGGCUCUGUAUAUGGCACAUUCAGCAGAACAUUGUACGCCAUCUGCAUGAUGACGCAGUAAAGGAGGUAUUCCGAUCUUUCAUAUAUGAUACAUCUUCCAUUGAAGACCAUGAGAGAAAAUGGUUACACUUCUUACAACGGAAUAAAGUAACAAGUGAGGACUCCUGGCUGCAUCAGAUGUAUAAGAUGAGAAAACUGUGGUGUGCUCCAUAUCUUGAGGGCCGUUGUUUUCUAGGAUUGAGCAGCAAUCAGCGGAGUGAGAGUUUAAACUCAGUGCUACAUACGCAUCUUGAGGCUAAGAUGACGUUGUUUCAAAUGCUAGAGCACUAUGAGCAUUGCCUUGCGUCACGACGCUUGAACGAGGCUCUCCAAGACGUCGAGGCCUUACAGUCCGUUCCGUUCACAGAGGAAAAUGCUUCAGUUCUUGAGAAACACGCCGCGAAAGUUUUCACUCCUGCUGUGUUCAAGUUGGUCUUAUGGAGCAUAGAUGCUGUCAAAAAAUGUGAGAUCAGAGAGGUACUUGAUGCAGCAGAGGUUACCACAUACGUUGUGUCUAAGAAGGAAAGAAUGGAUAAAAAGAUCGAAGUGCGCACGGAGUCGAAGGAAGGUAUGCUUCGCAGUAUCAGUUGUUCUUGCCGCAAAUUGGAAUGCGCAGGCACACCAUGUUCCCACAUAUUUUACAUAUUGGGAAUUUUACAAGAAGAAACACUGCCCAGGUGUUGUGUUCCCACUAGGUGGACAAUGAGUGCAAAAUGUGCAUUCGCACCGACCAGAAAGAGCGAGAUGUAUGCAUACUCUGCAGCCCUACAAAGGUACCGUAAGCUAAGGAAUUUUAGUCACGUAGCAUAUUUCAAGGCAUGCCACUCUGAUGAGGCGUUUCAGCAUCUAAAAAGGGUUUUGGAAGGACAAGAUGUUUGCAAGGGAUCAACAAGUGAACAAGCUGAUAGCAAGGGAUCAACUAAUGCUCAGGGUAACAACAUUAGGUUUGGCCCGUUGAUGCCACAAUCGGCUAACCUUGAUGGUGAAGGUUUCGAAAAGGUUCUUGAUCUCGUGCAUGUGCCAGGCCGAGGUGCUCCGAAGAAAAGGCUACAUGCAUAGAUGAAGAAAACCAGAACAAAGGGUAGAUGUAGCUAUUGACAUGAGGCACAUGGUCACAAUCGACGUACGUGCGCCAAAUUGAUAGAGCUACCUAAUAUGCCGUAAUUUAAUGUUUUAAUGUGUCCAAAUAUAUUCCAUGGCAUUAAUAAUAUCCUUAUGUGCAGGAUCUCAAAGCAGAACUAUGAUAGCAACAACAUUGUGCGCACGGUCGGACAUCAAGUACGUCGACGAUCAACCUGAUGUUGGCGUGUGCAUUGUCGUCUAUGUCAAGUAUCGUGUGACCUUUUCUCUAAAAUACUUCAUUCUGUCAGUUAGUGACUAACUCAUGUUGUAUGACUCAGCUAUUUGGUUGUCCACUCCCUUGUAACAGUAUUAGUUUGGGAUAUUUUUUUUGCAUUUUAUAUGUGAGUUUUUCAAGUGCAACCUCAAGAAUCAUGGUUUCUUCCUGGCCAGCGUGUAGCUUGUUUAGGUUGCACGAUAAAAUUUGGAAAUAGAUGUAAUGGAGGAAUUAUAUUUCGCUCCUAAAAACAAAAUAAAAGCCUGAUAAAUCCGAAAAAUACAUUAGUCAUCCAUGCUCUCCAAUUGAAGAAUAUACAGGAUGAAUACAGAUGAUGAAUCAUUCUCAUCCUAUAUAUCCUCCACGUACAGUGCAAGGAAAACUGCUUGCGACUUCUUAUCACAAUGUGUUUGUAUCUGCAUGUACAACUCACCAUGCUACAGGGGAGCCAGGCGAACAAAACAGUGAAAACGGCGAAGAAACUGGUGAAGAAAUCGUUCCGGGCGAGUUAUAUCGCGUGUGCCGCGGCGUGGGGAACAUAUCCUCCUCGGGAUUUCCGUCGCAGAGGCCCAGGCAAUCGUCUCCGGGAUCAAUACCAGGUGACAGCUGCGGAUCCGCGGCAGAUCGACCAGACACAGCAGCUGCGGUCGGCUGCACGCGCGCCUCCGACCCGCCGCUCGACACGCGGCCACCUCGGAUCGGGCGAGGCGCGCCCUCCGGCCCGCACCAAUAACCGGCGGCCACGCGGCAACUAGAUAAUGGUCAGGGACGCACGCGCUUUGCGGCCCAGCCCGUGUGGUACAAGCGGCGCCCCGCCGUUCGCCAGGCGGACGUGGAGACAGCCCCUGACUCCAGUGGGCCUGCAACAUCAUGGGCUCAUGAUGAGUCUGCAAGCUGCCGUGGAUCUUCUGCGGCUCCACUCUCACCAGCGCCUCGGCCCGCUGCCACAGAAGAUCAGGACCGCCCGAAACCGGCUGCUGCAGGCUAAUCUGCCUCGGAUUCCGUCGCUGUCCUGUCUCUAGAAAGGGCUACGGGAUAUUCUGGGGCCACGAACUCUCCUGCACCUCAAUGGUCCCUCCGGAAUGCGGUGAUUUUUUCGACCACCUCCAAAUCACCUCAAUUUUGGCACACAUGAUCUGUUACACAAACAAAGCUACGAUUCCAAGGUUUUAUAUUUUUUUGAAUUUUCUUGAAUUUAUACUGCCCUCUAGACUGACUGAUCAUAACAUCAGUCUAUACCUCUAGGGGGCAUGGUAAAAUAUUUUUUUCUAAAUUUUCUUUCAUGGACAUGUUUGGCACAUGUGGGUCACUGUGUAAAAGAAAAAUUUGGGUGAUUUAGAGGUGGUGGAAAAAAUCACCUUUAUUCAAAAAAUGGCUUAACUUAGACCAAACGGUCCCUCCGGAAUGCGGUGAUUUUUUCGACCACCUCCAAAUCACCUCAAUUUUGGCACACAUGAUCUCUUGCACAAAAAAAGCUAGGUUUCCGAGGUUUUAUAUAUAUUUUUUAAUUUUUUUCAAUUUAUACUGCCCUCUAGACUGACUGAUCAAAACAUCGGUCUAUACCUCAAGGGGGCAUUGUAAAAUAUAUUUUUCCAAAUUUUCUUUCAUGGACAUGUUUGGCACAUGUGGGUCACCGUGUCAUAGAGAAAUUGGGUGAUUUGGAGGUGGUGAAAAAAACCACCUUUGUUCAAAAAAUGGCUUAAGUGAGACCAAAUGGUCCCUCCGGAAUGCGGUGAUUUUUUCGACCACCUCCAAAUCACCCAAAUUUUGGCACACAUCUCUUGCACAAACAAAGCUAGGUUUCCAAGGUUUUAUAUUUUUUUGAUUUUUUUGAAUUUAUACUGCCCUCUAGACUGACUGAUCAUAACAUCGGUCUAUACCUCAAGGGGGCAUUGUAAAAUAUAUUUUUUCCAAAUUUUCUUUCAUAGACAUGUUUGGCACAUGUGGGUCACCGUGUCAUAAAAAAUUUGGGUGAUUUUGAGAUGGUGGAAAAAAAUCACCUUUUUUCAAAAAAUGGCUUAAGUUACACCAAAUGGUCCCUCCGGAAUGGGGUGAUUUUUUCGACCACCUCCAAAUCACCCAAAUUUUGGCGCACAUGAUCUCUUGCACAAACAAAGCUAGGUAAGUCAGUGAGCAUGUGUUAUAUUAUGUUUACUAAUUUCAAUAUGAAUGCAAAAAAAUGCACACCUACCAACCAGAGGCAGGAGUUUUCAUACACCACGGCCUGUAUACGACUAGGAACCCAACAGUUUAUGGGCAAGGAUACAGGCCCGGGGUGCAGAUUACUCUUCUGCUGGUGGGGCCAACUGGGCAAAGAGCAUGAAACAUUAGGCAAAGUACUGCCUGCAUAUGAGAGGAGCUUGAGUGGGGAGGCACAGCCGGGUAUAUAAGCUGGUGCGUCUCCCUCUCGCUCGGCAAGGUGGGACUAAACUCCCACCAUAGUCUGGUUUGCCCUGGUGCGCCCACGCGAUGGGCCAGAUUAGAUGGGCUUUCACAGGCCAGCCUUCCCGCGUGUUGGACCACGCGUGGGUCUAGAUGUCUAGGCUGGCCCAUGCUUUUCCUUUUGUUUAUUUUUUCCUUUUCCUUUUGUUUACAUAAAAAUUACCUGACCACUCAAAAAAUAACAUGUUACAUCUUAUUUCAAAUUCUCUUUUUUGCGAUAUUUGGUUUGCAUUUUCUAUAAAUCCUAAAAAAUACAUAAGUCAUCCUUGCUCUCCAAGUGAAGAAUAUAUAGGAUGAAUACAGAUGAUUAAUCAUACUCAUCCUACAUAUCCUCCACGUAGAGUGCAAGGAAGACCAACGCUUGUGAUAAUCAAAUAGAUGAAGGUAUUUAAGCCGGUGCNNNNNNNNNNNNNNNNNNNNNNNNNNNNNNNNNNNNNNNNNNNNNNNNNNNNNNNNNNNNNNNNNNNNNNNNNNNNNNNNNNNNNNNNNNNNNNNNNNNNNNNNNNNNNNNNNNNNNNNNNNNNNNNNNNNNNNNNNNNNNNNNNNNNNNNNNNNNNNAAAAUAUUAAGACGUGAUCCUGGCUCGAGAUUGGCGCGACGUGGGCCGGCCCGCCUUGAAUUGCUUGAAUGGGUCGGGCUUUGGGGGAGGAGGCGUGGCGGACGUGGGAAACCUACGUGCAUGCAUGGAACUGCACAGCAGGCGGAUCGCGCGGGAUUAUCGAACUGGCCCAACAGGCAUACAUGUGCGGGGCCCGCAUAGAUUAAUUCGGUCGGCCUGUCUCCGGGUGACGACGCGUGGGCGGGCGACGGGCCUUUCUCGUGCGCUUUGGCGGGGAUCCGCCUGCGCUUCGAUGCGCCCUGGCACCGCACCGAUCCCGGAGCAGAUCUCGUCAGGUCUGACUCCGCGGAUCCCGAGGAUGAUUCGCCAGCAAUUUUGUCACUUUGUGGCACAUAAAAUGUCCCUUCGGUUUAUUUCUUGCACCGUUUUGCAGCAAAUUUUUUUCAGUCACAAUUGUACAUGAUCCUGCAGCACCUGCUCAUUAACAACUACUCCCUCCGUUCGUAAAUAUAAGUCUUUUUUGAGAUUUCAGUAUGAAAUACAUACGGAGCAAAAUGAGUGAAUCUACACUCUAAAAUACGUCUAUAUACAUCCGUAUGUAGUUCAUACUGAAAUAUCUUAAAAAACAUAUAGUAUUUAGGAACGGACGGAGUGUACAGUUGGGUAUAAACACAUGCAUGUCGCUUCGGAAAUGGAAAUCACAUUCUAGGAAAAAUGUUGUUACAAGACCUCCAUCGUGAAUGAAUUGUUCCAUAACAGCAAACAUUUGUAAGAAAACCAAAAAAUGUUGUCUCCAGCUUAAAACAUUUAAAAUAACAUUUGCCCUCCUACGGAAGCUCGUCUCGGGUGCCAAAAUCCAGUGACUUCUUCGUAUAGGUCGUUGGAGUUUGCACCAGGAUUUGCGACGACCCACCUUCUCCAAUAUUUUUACACGGUACAUCAAUGUAACCUAAGGAUUUAAGUUGUUCCUUUGCCUCAAGCUCUCUAGCCAGAGCCUCCUCGUGCUGCAAGUCUUGGAUGCGCAGUUCCUGUAAAAUCAUACUAACGUAUUAGGACAAACUUAAGGAUGAUGAAGCCGUAAAAUUGAUGUAACAUGAAGAAUAGGAACCUCUGAAUCCAUGUCCGACCACCACUCAUAAUCAUCUUUUGGUGGACGAUUAUACACCAAAUACAAAUGACAUGUCUUGCUGCCGUUCAGGCGGGAAAUCAUCUUUGCAAAAUCACCUGGUCCUGAAAUCAGGAACAUUCCUCCCGGUAGGUUCCACGCAUGCUCAGGUAAGAAGUGGUACAAAUCUGAAUCCUUUUUAUAACCAUAUCCAGCCACUUCUUUCAUGAGAAAAUCAUAGUCCAAUACGCCGGGUUCAAACAAUCUCAUCUCAAUGGGUCUUUCGUCAAAGUAUCCUGUUGGGACAUGCGAAAGCUCACAAUCCCUAUGAAUGUAAAAUUCCAUUACCAGCACCUACAUACAAGUAUCUCACAUCAAAUUUAAUACAUUGCAAUCACCAAAGUUCCAUAAAUAAUUUUUUAUGUGCGUAGCAACAUCGCGACAAAGUUACCUUAUUAUUAUAUGGGAUGUAAACUUCAUCUGCGAGGAUUCGGGAUUGUUCCGUCACUGGAUGCUUAGCCUACGUAUGAAUCGCCGACAUAGAGUUACACACGAAUUAAAUAUGGUCAUACAAAAUGUUGGAUGUGAAUGUUUACCAUGGGUGCGACGUACUUACAGGAGGAGACUUGAAGACAUGUUCUUCAAGUGGAGAACUGUGGCAUUCAACGGGUGACACCGACAUCACUAGGCCUUUAGUGUUUGGAGAUUGUGCCGCGUAACGCUUCUUGGACUGCAUAUGAAUAGCUUACACAAAGUUACUCACAAAAAAAACUAUUAAUACACAAUAUCGGUCGUGAUCGUGACUGAAUAACAUCGUUGCAAGGUACUCACAGGGGGAGUACUGAAGACAUGCUCUUGCGGUUGACUGCCGUGGCAUUGAACGUGGGAUUGAAACAUCGCACGGUCUUCCAGCAUCUUUCCUUCCAUCAUGACCUGCUCCACAAUAGCCUUGUAGUCCAUGUCCUUGCGCUCCUGUUGCAGCCUAAUGUCCAUAUUGGCACGUGCCUGCAACACAUUCGCGUCCAUGUUGAAAUGCUCUGUCUGUAUAAGGCCGUCGACAACCUUCCUGUCCUUUUGCAAUUUAAGCUGCAUCUCCUUGUACGCCAGCUGGAAUUUCUUUUCCAUGGCCUCGCGGUCCUGAUUUAACUUUUUUUUCAUCUCUUCACGCAUCUGCAUAAUCUUCUGAGACAUAUCAGCACGCUCAUCCUUAAGCAUCCUAUCAACAUACGCACAUUCUUGUUUGAGUGCCCUGUCCAUCUCAUCACGUUCGUGUUGGACCUUCGCGUCGAUCUCCCGGCGGGCUUCACGCAACAACCUGUCGUACUCCGCACGCUUAUUGCCAUGCACAUGUGAAUCCAUGGUGCCUACAACACCAGAUAGUAGAAUGCGAUUAAUGAGAUCCAGAUUGUCAAAAUACACCGAUUCUCACUAAAACAUAGGGCUAUUUAAAUACCUCGUAAUAUAGAAUAGCAUGGUAUGUGUGAGACAAACUGAGUCAUGAAUUUCCAGCAAACGCUCUAAUCUCCUAAAAUUCGUAUUCCUAAUUUGGUAUGAACAACCUCAUCCAAAUCAGUCCUAAAUAAUCCAGCAACUCCUUCAACAGCACCUCCUUUACUGUAGUAUUGAGAACAAGUCUUUGUACGCCACAUCUAAGUGGCUAAAUCAAACAUCAUCCAAAUCAUUCCUACUAAUGGAACAUAGCCUAAAGGUCUUGUAAAGAAAAUCCAAUGACAAAAAAAAUCCAUAACUAGACUGUAUGAUCAGGAUCCCCUAACAACCAAUCGCAAAGCUCUUGCAUAACAUUCUUCACUCCAACCUUAUGCAAAUCAUUCAUAGUAAUCCAGUACAGAAAGGGCUAGAAAAUUAGCUCCACCAACAUAAUAUUUCCGUAACCAGAUCGUAUUAUGAACUACUGUGAACUUGCAAUCACAUCUAAUCUCAUAACGGCCUUUACACCAAGUAAAGACAAGCACACAAUAUCUUGCACCAAAAUAGUACCUUUGACGAAAAACUAAUCUGCCAGGAACAAAUACCAAAGAUCUUGCACACAAAUAUGGCAUCUCUAAUCUCAUCACAACCUCCUUUUUGGUCCAAUCGACGGAAAAAGUAUGAACGUUUCAAGAGAUGGGAGGAGACGUGGAGGAUGAUACCUUUUUCUUUUUACUCGGCCGUCGGUGUGGGCUUCCGCAGAGCGAUGGCAAUUAUCCCGGCGACGGCUACCUCUGGACACCAAAACUUUUUGGGCGGUUAAGGAAGGAGCGAUAUGCGGAAAGAAAAUAUGGGAGGGAUAUGCGGUACGAUGGAAGGGUACAUAUCUCCCGUGAUAUCGGACGAUAUAUUUACAAGUAAUGCGCAUGGAUGGUCCGUCCGUGAUUUUAGGGUGGGUUAGUCGGUUGGAAGAUUUGUUAGUUAGCCUAUUUAGAGGGAGCACGAUGCUCUGGUCCUGGUGUUAGGGUUUGUUAGCCCAGCGGAGGAGUCCCUAGUUCUUCUCUUACCAAAAGGAUUACGACCACCUUCUGUCAUUGCCGCAGUCGCCUGACACCAAAUCAACCAUGUCGUCGUCAAGCUCGAUUAGGUGCGCGCUGAGGGGCCGAUCAGUUGAUGUGCCCCUGAUCCCUUGCCCUGACUGUGGCGAAACGCUUAGAUUCUAUCUCUCCAGUACCGAAGAGCAUGAUGGUUGGGUGUUCUACAAGUGCAAGCACCACGAUGUACAAUCCCUUUACAUGACAUUUACUGCAUGAGUAAUUUUUUCUACUGUUUCGUUAGUGCUGGUUUGAUUUGAGUUCACUUGAUUCAUAGGAUCCAUGUGAUUUCUGGCGCUGGGAACUAGAGUACGUGGAUCAUCUUGUUGGUACAAGUGUCCUUGUUGGUGCUUAUGCCCUUGAUGCAAUGGCUGCGGCACAUGAUAGAAGGGAACAGCUACAACGCUAAAAAAUAGUGUGAAAAGAAUGCAUGUGCCAAGAGUGGCAACAUUGGAGGCAGGACAAAUUACUGUCAGAGCAAUGUGGCAACCAUUACAAAGCACCAAGCUUAUACGAUGUUAGGACUAGGGAGACAAAUUGUUUUCAUGCUGAAGCUUUUGACGGCUAGUGUAAUGGUGUUGUGUGUGUUGUGUCUGAUGUUGAUUGUGAAGAAAUAAUAUAUUUGUGAUUGUAUCAAGGCGAUUAUCAUGGUCACAUGUAAUAAUAGCUUAAAAAGAAGAGGUGUCUAACAUGAUAACUCUUACACCCCCCGGCCCCCACCCCUCUUUUAACAUGAUAGGUAAGAGUAAGAAAUAAAUCUUACACGAUGAUUGCAUGAAAUAGUUGUUUUGAUUAUUUCUUACCUUCUUGACUAUUAAGAGAAAAUAAGGGGCAAGACGGAGCAUGUUAAAAUUGCUAAAAAAUAAUGAAUAAACCGAGUUGCAAUGAAGGAAAUCGAAUGGAAAAACGUAAAAGACCAUUUAAAUUCUUGCCCACUAUGUUGUGCACGAACACAAGAGUACCAUGAUGUAAAAAUAAAGUACGCCAUUACAGCAAUGACUUAAAAUCCCUUAAUUUAUUUUAUCACACUACGUUUUGCCAAAACUACUCUAGAGGCACGUCAGGAACAUGGGAAACAAACAAAUAUAUCCCAUGAUCUCCCAGGUACAGCAACAUCAGCACCUUCUGUCCUAACAGCAAGAUUUUUUCCUUCUUCAUGAACUCGUUCCAUUUGUUGACGCAGACACGACCGUCAAUAUCAGAAAUGGUGUAUGUACUUGACACAGUACUGUGUGGAUGACAAACAAUGGUUAUGGCACCAUAUUCCUCCAUUUCUUCGGGGACAACACGAUUAGGCAGUUUCUGUUUGAAAACAAUAUUUGUUACAUCAACACGUGGCAACUUAUUGUUAUGUAGUAAAGGAAGAACAAUUAAUUUGGAACAAAGCUAAAAACAUACUGAAAUGACACAAAGUAAAUGAAGAACAGAAAGAUGGUUACCGAGAAGUUCUUGUUGCAAUCUGACCAUGUCAACGUACGGAGGAAUGCAUAUGCUCUUCCUUGAUCAUAGUUUCCAGCAUCAUGACGCUCCACUAACUUGUCAAGGUCCAUCACUUGGCGUAUGACAUACUCCAUCAUUCUCCAGUUUAAGCUUGUCCCCUCAGUUACAGCGACAUUGUCAAUAAUAUCUCUUUUCUCAUUGGACAAUUGGUAGUAUGCUACAAUAUUAUAGCACAUACAAUUUAAUUUAUUAUAUAUGGUAUAUGAUAAAUUUAGAGUAAUAAAACUUGCAGGAACAAAAAAGUAUCUUACUCCGAUGUAUGAUAGGCAAAUUCCUAGUUGUCACAACGCUACUUGGUACUUCUGAAUUGUCAGUACUGAACGUAAUCUCCUGACCCACAUGUAGCGUAUAAACUCUAACAAAUUCCUUCCAAGACUCUCCUGAAAUGUAUGUCAACUCAUUGUCAUUGGUAAUCUCACAUGGGAAUUCAAACCCCUCAUUGGUACUGAAACUUGCUUUAAAGUUCCCAUAUUUUCCCAAGGGCACUCCAAAUUUCUGCGUGAAACUGUAUCUGUCGUAGCAGGGGAUUACCUGAGUAGCAUAUGGACGAUUGUUAAUAUAUAUGAACUGCCUGUUAAUCUAAAGAAUUUGUCCAAUCAUAGAUGACUAGCAUAGUAUAGUUCACUACUUCUUAGCAGUAUUAUCAUAUAACCCCAUAGAAGAUUUAAAUUUACAUGCACGUACACAAAACCAUUUUAUCAUCUAAGAAAUCAACAUGCAAUAUAACUCUUUUUGCAGUAAACAUUAUGAACAACUGACUGAGUACAAAGGGUCCGAGUACAAUAUUCGUUCAAUAUUAGUGCCUCAGUCCAAAAAUUUGUGGACAAAUUUUUAUACAUACGGAUGUAUCUAUGCAGAAAACAUGACUAGAUACAUGCGUAUCUACAUGAAUCUAACACAUUAAUUUUGGAUCGGACGGAGUACUAAGUUUCUCAUGAUAUUUGCUACGGGUCAUGUCAGACUGGAUCUUACUGUCUUGUUUGCAAAUCCCGCAUACGAUGCUCACCGGGGCACAAACCCUUGGUGUCCAAACAAAUGCCACUCUGCGAAUCGAGAUCAAUCUCAUUACUAGUACGUACAGUCUUAAAGAUUAGUGCUAGCAGUUGAAUUCAGAUCUGACAGAUUCUAUAGUCCAAAUACGUGCCGCACUGAUCUCCUUAACCAUUUUCACUCGAGAGAGGGACGUGAGGAGGAGGGGGCGAGAAGAGCAGCCACUUCCGACCCCUAAGCUAACGAUGGCGGCGGCGUCCGGAGAUUUCGAAAAGCGCGUACGCCCGGCGUCUCCGAUCUUAUAUUGGAGCGGUCGUGGCGGUGGUAGGAGGCCCCGAUGCCACGGGUGGUUAGGAGGAAGGCGGUGCAAUCACGGGACUUCGGGAGAGGUGGCGUGCGUGAGUUAUGGGAUCUUUUAACAUAUAUCAUCAAGAUAAAAAAAAGAACAUUAUGUUGUGCUAAAAAAUACAUUUCAUAAGGGUGAACUAGGUUUUGGUUCGAAACAAGUUUGAACGAUAUAUAAUUCCAAAAUUGGCCUUGUCCAUUUUCCAAAUAAGUUUCACAACUAUACAUGCUAUGACCAAUGCAAGCAAGCAUGCAAAAUGGUUUUUAGUUUAGCGAAGUUUUUCAUUUUCGGACGAAAAUGCCUGAAUGUGGCCGCACGUGACAACACUUGCAAUCAUUGUCGAAAAUGGUUCAAACUAGGCAUGGAGGCGUACAAUGGCCAUGAAUUGUCACCGCAAAAAAGUUCGGUUGACUUAAGAUAUGUGAACAAACCAUCGAGCAUUUUCGGAGGGUGCCAGGCUAGCCCGGAAGGGCGAGUCCGGGAGCACCUCCAUGUUAACACCACAUACAAAUGAUUCCAACUUUUUUUCAUGCCCUCCCAUGAGAAAAUCAAGCAAACAUGCAAAUAUGGUUCUCAGUUUCGACAACUUCUCCACGUAUUGGGAUUUAUUUAUAUUGAAAAUGCCCGAAAACUGGCCCCACGUGACAUUAGUUGCAAACUUUACUAAGAAUAAUUCAAACUUGGCAUGGAGGACUAACAUGACCAUGAGUUGUUACCCCAAAAAUUUUGUGUUGAUUCAAGAAAAAGGUCAACAAACCAGCAUGUGUCUUCUUAGAGGAUGCCAUGUUAGCCCAAAGGAAGGGCGCGUAUUGGAGCAACUCCGUGUUUACAAUAUCCACAAAUGAUGCCAACUUUAUUUGAUGAUCUCCCAUGAGAAAAUCAAUAAUGCAUUCACAAUGGUUUUUAAUUUUUCCAACAUUUAUAAUCCUUCUGCAAUUUCGAAGCGAAAAAGAAACAUCGCCUGCAUGGUCUACCCCCCUAGCCACACAUCGAAAGAAGGGGGCACAUGAUGCAUUACACUUUGUUUGUCUUAUGGUGGACCUAGUUGACACACCAAGCCUAGUUGGAUCAUUGGCCUACACCGGAUUCCAUGUCGUAUGAAAGCUCGGGCACAUCAACUGCUCCCAUCUAGAACCUUCGAACUGCACUGUCCACUUUGUGAAGCAAGUACAACAUGAAAUUUGUGAAAUUCUCCCAAGCUUUUAAAAUACAUCUCAUGACAAAAUCAAGCAAGCAUGCAAAAAUGCUAUUCAGUUUACACAAAAUUUUGCAUGUACGGUAAUUUUUUUGGCCGAAAAUACUCGAAAACUGGCCACACGUGAAUCAUAUUGCAAACUUUACAAAAAAAUGGUUCAAACAUGGCCUUCAAUAGUCACCCCAAAAAGUUGGGUCGGUUUCAUACAGGUCAGGAUAGUACUAUAGCAUCUGCUCUCAAAGGGCGCCAGGCUCGGCCGGAAGGGCUUGUGCCGGGGAACCUCCAUGUUCACACCAUCUUUAUAUUUUGUCAAAUAUAUUUCAUGGCCUCCCAUGACCAAAUGAAGCAUGCAUGCACAAUGGUCGUAAUUUUCUACUAGAUUUUCCAUUUUCUUCCAUUUUUCGGUCAUAAAUGCUCGAAAAGUGGCCGCAAUUGCCAAAACUUGCAAAUUUUGCUGAAACUCAUUUUGAUGUUGUCCUAGAAGCCUGUAAUGAAACAUUUUCCAUUGCAUGUCAUAACUUGGGUUCAUUCCACAUGAAGCAUGAUCUACUUGGUUUGUACAUUCGACAGUGUAGCACGAAGGUUCUCGACGGAGGCAGUGCGUGUACUACAUCGACUCCAUGGAUGGAAUCUAGUUUGAACCAAUGUUCGCACUUGGUAUGGUGUCAAUUAGGACUAACCUUAGGCAAUAAAGCUUGAAGGCAUCAUGUGCUACUACUUUCGAUGGUUGUCUACGGGUAGACCGUCUGGGAGGUGAAAAAAUCAUGAAAAUCAUGUGUAACCUUGAACGCACUGUGCAUGCAUGCUUGAUUUGGUUCAUGGGAUGGCAUCAGAAUAACUUGGAAUCCUAUGUACAUGGUGUAUUGAAGGAGGUGGCCCGAGACGGGCCCUUCCGGGCUAUCCUUGUACACUUUGAAAGCACAUGUUGGUUUAUUGACCUAUAUUAAAUGACCGCCAAGUUUGUAUCGUUACAAUCCAUGGCCAUGUUAGGGAUACAUAUGCCAAGUUUGAACCAUUUUCAUCUAAGUUUGAAAGUUUUUUCAUGUGUAAAUCUUAGUCUAAACUUAGAAGCAUUUCGCAUGGCAGCUUGUUUUGGUCAUGGGAUUCCAUGGGAAUUAGUACACAUCAUUUUGUAUUGUAGAUGAUCUACUAAACAUGGGGGUGCCCCCAAACACGCCCUUGCGGCCUUGACUGGCACCUCCGAAAUCACAUGCUAGUUUGUUGACCUACCUGAAAUCAACCCAACUUUGCAGGGUUGCAAGCCAUGGUAAUUAUUGGGGUACUUUCAAAUUUCAACCAUUUUCAGCGAAGUUGCAAGUUUAGUCACGUACGGUCAAUUUCCGGACAUUUUUAGAACAAACCACAUAUUUUACCACUUAAAAAAUGCAUUCCUUUCUCGACGGCACAUUUGUUUUUUCUUCGGAACACUACAUUUGUUUUGGCCAAUUACAUGCUAAUGUUUCAACCUCCCAUAACUCACGCCGCCCAGAUCUCCCGAAAUCCCACGAUUACAUCUCCUCCCUCGUAACCACCCGCAGCAUCCAGGUCCCCUACCACCUCCCACGACCGCUGCAAGAUCAGAUUGUAGCCGCCGCCCGCUGCCCACCACCAACGUCGCCUGAGGGGUCGGACGGGAGUGGUGUUGUCGCCGCCUACUACGCGCGUCAACGCGCCACUGCUCCUGUUGCUGCCAUCGAGCGCCACACAUCGACAUCUAGUGUGGGGCGCACUAUCCGCGUGGAGCAUUGGGCCGCCACCGCCGAUGAUAGAAGGUUACGUGAUCAUAGCUCUUUUUAAUCUUUCGCAGACAUGCACGUCUACUAGUAAAGCCCUGAUAGGUUUCCCACAAGUUAUUACAGUCGUCAAGAUUACCUGAUCAUAGCUCUCAUUAAUAAGUAUCUUGUAAUCAAUCUUGGAACACUACACGAACGUCCGAAGUGGUAAUACCACAACAAGGGUAUCUCUUUCAUGAAAUAACACGUCGUAUGUUUAUGCAAUCCCAAAACCCUAGUUGAACUGUCCCAAUGUUAUGCAUGACCAAAAUCUUAGUGUGCUUAAAGUUACAUGUAGUUCAUAUUAUUUAAUAAAAUCAUCCGUGCCUGCGUAUAAGAUUUUAUUUUUGUUACACAUUUCUCAACGUGAAGGUCAAAUAAAUUGAACCGGUUUUGCUUCUGUUCCAUAGGUGCCAGUAAAAUGGAAACUACUGUUAAAAGUCCUGCUAAUGGAGAAAAACACGUCUCCGAAAUGACCGAUGAGGUACGUAGUUGACAUUUCGUUUGAAAACUGUACUUGCAGACCCUUCUUUCAUACUCGAUAAAAUCUAUUGCCACUUUUGCAGGAAAUCUUGAGGAAACACGGGCAUAUAAGUUAGUGUGCUCACCGUCAAGGCUCGCCAAAGUCAUGAAAUUGUUGUCAUCAAAACACAUAGAGAAAAUCAUAAGCGAUGCCGGUCUUGGGUGUCUAAACAUGAUUCGUAAAUUUAAACUCCGGCGCAUUACGUUGAUAAGACUAGCAAAGAGCUUCGAUAGUGAGACAUCGUCCAUUACCAUAGGUAAAACACCCAUUCCUAUCACCGCAGAAGACGUGCACCAUAUAUUUGGCCUUGCGAUAGAAGGGGAGGAUAUCGAUAAAGAGCUGGAAAGCGCACCGGAUCCAAAUUUGUUUAACACAUUUCAAAAAAAUGGGAGCAUUGAUCUGGCUGACCUUGAGAGAGAGAUCUUAAGUUCCAAAACACCGGACAAUGAUUUCUUGGCGCGGUUCGUUCUAUUCACUAUUGGCACAGUUUAGCACCAACAACACAAUCUUAUGUCGAUGCGAAAUACCUUAAACUUGUUGCGGAUAUUAAAAGCCUUCCGGGAUUGAACUAGGGAUGUUUCACAAUGGAACACUUGUUCAUGUCCAUACACAAAUUUAACUCUCUUGAUCAAGUAUCUCUACAGGGAAAUCUACCUCUGCUUCAGGUUAGUGCAACAUCACUAGUUAACAUUGUACAAUUGUUUUUCUUUUCUAUAUCUCUCUAUAUUCACGAAGUAAUUUAUUGUGAAGAUUUGGUACUGGGAGCACCUGCGUUCCGGCAAAUUGAUGUAUACUCCUAUACCCCCAACAUUGGUCGCACGACGGGACGAAUGCACGUGCGUAAUAAGGAAGCUUACACCUCAGGAGGUCUUCGUAAAGGACUGGUGUGUUUCUAGAUUUUACCCAUGUAUAUAUCUGGUUAUUUAUUUGCUACUACUGAUUCAUUGUACCUGAUUCAAAGGUUGUGAUGGAAAUUUGUGCUCGACAACCAGAGGCCAACAAUAGAAAGGAUCCAGUAAGCAAAAAAUUUGUACGUGUGGAUGAAGAUGAUUCAUCUCCAGCACAAUCACAAGGUCAAAAUAUGAGUAGCCACCAAGUAAGCCCAACAAAGACAAUUUUCAUUUUCCAAGAUCAGUAAAAGGUCGCAUCAAAACUCAUUCAUUUUGAUUUCUUGUGAACGGGGUGUUAUUUCGUUUGCACAGGUGGAAAUGAUAGUUGCAUCCCUGAAUGCACGUUGUGCUGAGCAAGAAAAGAAGAUAGACAGAUAGUUAAUGGAAUUUCAGCAUAGAUUCGACGUGAAAUUCCUCACCCUGAGUGAAGAGUUAAUCGACAUUAAGAGUAAAUCUGGCAGUAAUCCUAGGCUCUCACUGCUCGAGGACGAAAUUAAGGACUUAAGGAGGGAACUGAUGGUAUGUCAUGUCGUGCAUUUUUUAUUGUUACGAAUAUGUUCCUCCAUAUUCAUUAUUGUUAUAAUUGUUACAGGAAUUAAUAAACAAAAGUAAAGUUAGCCGACAAUCUGAGUCACAGAAAGCUGGCGUCGAGGUAAUAAUUAUGGCCCACCACAUAAGUAGUAUUACCAAACUAAUUAUAAUUGACCUUUUUUUUGUUGAAGGAACAAGUCAAUGUGUGCAGUGAUCCCUUCAUGGCGACUCCUAAGUUCGACGCAUCCACGCCACGUACUUCGACUCCAACACCAAGUGCCAGACACGUCCUGCCAAACAAGGACGAUCCUCGAAUCACACCGAUGAAGCCUCUGUUUGAUAAUGAUUACGUGCUCACCGCUGAGGACAAAGAGGCAGCCAUUUUCAUCCAGGGAACACACGGCCCUGUUGAAGUCGUUCAAAUCGGAGACAUUCCCCUAAGAGCGGAACAACUGAAGCCAAUUUAUGAUAAAAAAUACAUCUGUGGUGAUGUAAGCCCAUUGUACUCCAUUGUACAUCAACUAUUUGAACUGUUGGCACAUCAUUAUAUGAUUACAAAUUUGGCAGGUUAUUAUGGCGUAUGCUCACAUCAGCGGAGUUGAGACUGAUACUACCUCAGUCAUAUCCCCAAUGAAACCAGAAAGCUUUUACAAACAAAAGGGGUUAUUCCAAAGGGCCAUGGAAGCUCGUGGGUUCAGCGUAUUGCAAAUAAAUUUGUAGGACGCCGGAAGGUAACCGUUUUCCUCACUUUCAUAUAUCGUAAUAGAUAGUGUAGAUGAAAUAUUUCAGGGGUCCCCCGAACCAUAAUUGUUACCUUAUAUACAUUAUUUCGUGGAAUGAGUCCUCUUUGACUUUACGGCAGGUCCACAUCCCGUUGAAUGUGAAUGACAACCACUCGAUGGCAAUGGUGUUCAAUUUCGACAAAGAAGAGAUUCAAAUCCUAAACUCCUUGAAAAAUCAAUUUGACGAGUCCAAGGAAACUGCUCUUGUAAGCUUUAUCUUGCUGCCUCUUUACUGUCGCAUGUCACAUGAACUCCCAAAUCAUCGUAACCCUUCGUAAUACUCGUAUUAUGCUAGGUGGAGGCAAUUCAGACCUGCAUGGACGAAGCGGUUAAGGAUGGCUUGGUAACACCAGCUAAGCCCAUCAAAUUUACCGACUGGGAAGUAGUACGCUAUGACGACAUACCGCAACAGAAUGACGGGUACGUACGACCUCCUAAAUUAUUCCUUGUCGACACGUCCAAGUUUACUAAAACCUAAACUAAACACUGCAGGCAUUCAUGUGCGUUUUUCACACUGAAGUACAUGUUGACAUGGAACGGUGAAGUAUUUACCGACAAAGUGGAGCAGGUGAGGCAAACACUAUAUUUUCUUGUAGAAUAUCUUAUGACUGAACGCUGUGCUGACAUAUGUGUCGCUUAUCAAAUGUAGUCAUAGAUAGAUAUAUUUAGCUGGAAAAUAGUUUCAAGCUUGCUGCGUUCAGAUUGCAACAGUCUUCGCAUGGAAACAUACAAGUACCCCAUAACGGUUAGCGAAAAAGCAUGAAUAUUUUAUUUUAUUCAUAUGUGUCAUGACGCUACCGAAUGCACUCAUGUCUGCUUUACAGGCGGAGACGUAUGAAGCCCACGUUGCAUCGCAACCUAUGGGUUUAGAAGACGAUGUCCAAAAAAUUAUCGGUACUGUUGAGUGCAAGAUGUCAGACACGUCGAGCUCCCCAAAGAAUCCCGACACCCGAGCUCCCCAAAAAAGCGGAGAGGACGUGGACGCCCGAGGAAGCUGUCGACGAAGUGCAAGCUAAAAAAACAAAAACUAUGGAAGAGCUCAGAGUGAAAUUUGAUAGCAAGACCAUUGCUAAACAAGUGGCUUCUUCAUUGUCAAGACGAUCACGCAAGCCAUCACAAGCUAUAUCGAGCCCAUUCAAGUUAACCAAAUGGUAGUUUAGGUACAUACUGGGUAGCACUGUAGUUAGCACUACUUAUGAUACAUUUGUCAUUUACGAUUUGGUGAUUGAACUUUAUCAAACGUGCAUCGACGAGCGGUGAAAGAUGGCUUGCUAACACCAGCUAAGACCGUAAAAAGUAGGGUAUGAUAACAUACCACAAUAUAGCAAUCUCUGCUGUCGCGGUACAUACUUUUGGCAAUCACGAACAUUUUGUAAUUUUGGCAAUUAGGGAUGCAUGCUCGGUUCUUUUGGUUGAACUGCUAAUAGGUCAUUCUGCCAAUCAUUUGCAUGUUGAACUUUUGGCAAUAUCUUAUAGUACAACCUAAGUGCCUGUCAAAAAGUGGCAAUAGGUACUUUUUGCAAUCAUGUGCAUGCUACAUUUCUUGCAAUUACUAAUGCAUGCUCAUUUGUUCUGCUUCAAAUGGCAGUAUGUACUCCUGGAAAACAUUUGUGUGCUCUACUUUUGGCAGCUAUUAAUACAAGCUCAUUUAUAAUGGUUUAACUGUCCAUAGAAAUAACUUGAAUGUCAUUAUUUCUAAACAUACCAAAUUCAGUGCAAGAUAUAGCAUUAGCAUCUUCAGUUAGAGUCAUAACAUAUAUGUACCAUAUAUCACCAUAGUGGAGGUAUUAGGCAAGGUUGACCGCAAUGCACUUAGGGUAGGUGCUAACAAGAUAAACAAUAGUUUAAUGAAGCAACGACGCUUAUUAGAAUAGGGUAGACACUUAAUUAGGCGCCUAUCAUGUACAAAUUGGCACUGCUGCGUCAGAAAACCAUGUUUAUUAUUGUUAGCAUGUACCUAAGCACGUAGCAUUGGAAGUUGUCCAUUACCAGAAAUGAGCAAUAUACUACCAAACACUUAAACAUAGCAUGUUAAACAGUCAGAACCCAAAAGAUAAACCAGCGCAUAAGUUCAUGCAGUACGGUGGGGCAGAAGUAUCACACGACAACCAUAACAUAAAAACAGUCUUACUAGGGUGGGCCAGCAGUAACAACCAAGCAGCGCAUCAGAUCCUCGGCAUCUUGGCCGGACGAGGAGGCCUCGGGAGGUAGAAUGGCAGAUGCCCCUUCGCGUACUUCCUGAGGAAGGCACCAAAAGCGGCAUGUUUAGCCCGGACGUGGGGCUUGCGGUUCCUCCCAUUACCAUGGCCAAUAUAGGUGCCAUGCAUGAUCAGGCUAUUGUAGUCGCUCUUGAUAAUCGCGCAGCAGAAGGGGCAGGCUAUGUUGCCAUAGAGCCUGUUGUAUCCGCUGCGGUAUGGGAUUUCCCCAUUCCGUAGCCUCCCGAGGACGUAGCGGCUCUUGCUGUCCCUGCUCUCCUUACUAUCAUCCACGUCUUCAUCAUCUUCCUGUGUGUUAGUUGAUCGACAGCUAUGUCAGAUUAGGAAUAUAGAAAUGUAGCAUUUCAUAAGAGUAUCAAGUACAUUCCUAAAGUAGGAAUACAAAAACAUGAUCAAUCAGAUGAUUCACACAACAUGUACCUCAUGUAUUGCAAUAUAUGUUUAUGUAUUAUUUGUUAUCUUUCUUGUUCUUUUUUCUUUGCUUUGCAUGCGUAGCUGUUCUCCCCUCUAAAGUAGUCCUAUUUGUACAAUCUAAGUUGACAAUUAACUAAAGUGUUCAGGUUUUACAGUAUGAACAAAUCACUUUACUGCAUUCAAGCACAUAUUUUAGUUCAUACUGAAAAUAGAUAAUUCCAAAAACAGGAUCAUUUCUUGCCAUUUCUUGCAACAAUAUUUUGUAUGAUCUGGUUUUAUCAUAAAGAGAUACCAGAACAUAUCUAAUUUAAUGAUAUUCAAACUAGAUGAGUACAUACUACAAAGUAAAACUACCGCAUCAACAAACAAAAGAUUGCCCUCACUUGAUAUUUUGAAGACAAGAAAACAUAUGAAUGAGGUCAUGAAUUAUGUAUAAAAAAGAGAAAUUUUGGAUUGAGGUACAUCGGUUGCGAACAUAAGAAAUUAUGGCUUUAAUUACUCAUCCUUGUUGCUAAUAAUUACAUAGGGUGCGUACAUAAGAAACUCUGCAAUGAAUUACUGACUGCAAUCAGAAAAUGUCUUCACAAUAUAGCUGUAUGGUUUCAUGAUUUUCAUCAAAUAAACCAGUUUUUCUGACAACUAAAUAAAUGUACUGUUUACUAGGUCUCAACAGAUUUGGUAAUCAGAUUGAAAAUAAGAUGCAUAGUCCAUUUCAUUAUAUGGAAAUCAUGAAGCAGAUAGAGAAAGUUUGCACUGUUAAGGUAAGAAAGAUUCUAUAAGAAAGAUGAAAUUGUGGUAUCAGCUUUGUGCAUAUGGAGCAUUAUGAUUACGCUUAGUAAUGGAAAAUUCUAUAUAGUAAGAAUGCAAUAGAAAAUCUUGUUGCUAGAAAUGUACUGUUGCAUGGACUUGGCAUGCAUGAUUACUGAUGUGGCAUAGUUUCAUGGAUUGAUUUGUGCAAGAGAAGAACUAAUCCAUGUUUGUUGUUAAUGGCAGGCAGUGGCCGUAAAUUGUUACUGCAUGCAUCAGUACUGACCAGAUGCAUGACUCGAUGAUGUGGCCCAGUUUCGUGCAUACCAAAACCAGAUAAUGGUUGCCACUAUUGAAGAACGGAGGAUAGUAUCAUGAAUAGCAAAACCAGAUAAUGGGUUGCACAAUUGAGGAACAGAGCAUAGUUGUAACAGGGGUUGUACUGAUUUAAAUAGGGGUUGUACUAACAGGAGAAACAUAGUGCUAUGAGGUUGUUUGUGCAUAGGUAGCAUUGUGCUUGAGCUUACAAAUGGUAUAUUCUAUAUAGUACGCAUGCUUGGAAUUUUUCUUUUGUAGUAAAUAAGAUAUCGAAUGGCCAAAAAUGCUGGGAUUUCCCAUCUGUCCACCGUUGGAUUGGCUUCAUCCAACAACAUAUAUUCAAAGUUGUUUCCAGAGUACAUGUUUACAAAGUUACCAUUUAUAGAAGCUCAAGCAAUGUUGAUAAAUAUUUACUGUUGCAUGUCAACUUUUCAUGUUCUAGAUAUUAAUCAUUGAUCCUCUUAUUGAAUGUCAUUGAUAAACAAAUUUGUAGGAAAUUUUCCAUCCACUCAGACCUGUCUGAAAGAAUCCUACGUUUUUAGUGUGCACAAUCAAACACUCAUACAAUCAUGUAGGAUUCAAGAUGACAUGCCACUCUAAUCCCACGUUUUCCCUAUUCCUGCGUUUUGGAAAUUGUACGAAUCAAAGAGGUGAUACCUAACAAAUACACCGUUUACUAUAGCAGAACUGAUUAUGACUACUGUUGCACGCACAGGGGGAUUUUAGGCCUACAUGACUACUGUUCCAUGUCAGGUUUCAGAUUGAAGGGGUUUCCUUCCAAAUGUACGAAACAACUAGUACUAAUCCUAACCCUAAGGGAGAGAUCAAGAAACAUAACCUAUCUGGACGAAAUCUAAUCCGUGCUGCAUGCAAUUCAAGAGAAAAACCCAAGGGAGAAAACCCAAAAACAGAGUAGGAGAAUAGAACAGAACAGAGUAGUACCUCCGAGAGCUCGUCGUCGACCUCCUCGUCGAACUCGGCGGCCUCGUCCUGCACUUCCUGAGCGUCGAGGUGGGCCUCCUCGUAGCUCUUGUCGAUGAGCUCGUACUGCUCGCGCUUCUGCUUGAGCCUCUGCUCCUCCAGAUCCACCGCCACCUCCUCCUCCACCUGCUCCCCGACCACAGGCUCGACCGCUGCGACGGCGGCCGGAGCAGUCGCAGCAGAUGGUGCACCGCCUCCCGUCGCCGCGACGGCGCCCUCGGUCGCGCCAACCGCGGCGGCAAUGACCACAGCAGGCUUCUCCACUGCUUCUACCGCUGUGUCCUUCUCCACCGCCGCGUCUUCACGGCCGACCUUCAUCUUCCGACGACGAAGGGCAACAGAGGUGGUUGCUGGCUCGUAGGAGGUUGGUUCGAGGUGAGAGGAGAGGGGUUUUGCUGAUUUGGGGAAGAAAAGCAGAAGGGGUGGGGGUGGGGGAGACGGGGGUGGGGGAGGCGGCCUUUAUUUGGCGUGUGGGGGUGGACGUUUGGAGUUACCGAGGCUAGACGCGUGGCGUCAUGCGCUCGUGCACGCCCCAACCGCUUUCAUUUAAUUUUUGUCAUGAAUUUGUAUAUAUAUUUUUGACCUGUGGUUUAGCGAGGAAAUUGCACAAAUUACCUACUUUUGGUGUUACUUUUGCAUAGAACACCUACUUUACAGGUUUGUUGCACAAAAGAACACAUAUUGGGGUAAUUUGUUGCAGCUAGGUCUAAUCCGCCAUUUUGGGUGGGUUGACAUGAUUUGUGACAAGUGAGUCCAGUUUGUAAGUGCACCGCGGGAAAAAAACACAUUCCACAUCAGCACCCAGCUAGAACUGUGCAAAAUUUACAAAUAGGUACUCCAGAAAUAAUUCUCAUUGUUUCUGGGCCCACAGAAAUGAACUAUUGACAGUUUUUUUGUUCCCACAUAACAUCUUGGCACACAAGAGCAUGCACCAAACUUGUUCUCCUUCGGCACACAGAGCUAUAACGACGGACAUAUACCAGUAAUAUUCACACUGCAUGUGUCGAUACCAUCUUGACCAACAUGCAACAACAUUGGUCCCAUUAGAUUGAUACAUGCCAUAAGGGGUCCAAAUCAUUCACCAAUUGAAAGAUCGUGGAUGUCGCCUAGAGGGGGGGUGAAUAGGCGCUUUAAAAUAAUUACGGUUUAGGCUUGAACAAAUGCGGAAUAAAUCUAGCGGUUAAUUUGACAAGCACAAAAACCUACAACAACUAGGCUCACCUAUGUGCACCAACAACUUAUGCUAAGCAAGAUGAACAACUAAGUGAUAGCAAGAUGUAUGACAAGAAACAAUAUGGCUAUCACAAAGUAAAGUGCAUAAGUAAAGGGUUCGGGUAAGAGAUAACCGAGGCACGCGGAGACGACGAUGUAUCCCGAAGUUCACACCCUUGCGGAUGCUAAUCUCCGUUUGGAGCGGUGUGGAGGCACAAUGCUCCCCAAGAAGCCACUAGGGCCACCGUAAUCUCCUCACGCCCUCGCACAAUGCAAGAUGCCGUGAUUCCACUAAGGGACCCUUGAGGGCGGUCACCGAACCCGUACAAAUGGCAACCCUUGGGGGCGGUCAUCGAACCCGUACACUUUGGCAACCCUUGGGGGCGGUCACCGGUACCCGUCAAAUUGCUCGGGGCGAUCUCCACAACCUAAUUGGAGACCCCGACGCUUGCCCGGAGCUUUACACCACAAUGAUUGAGCUCCGAACACCACAAACCGUCUAGGGCGCCCAAGCACCCAAGAGUAAUAAGCUUCUCAACUUGUAACUUCCACGUAUCACCAUGGAGAACUCAAACCAAUGCACCAAAUGCAAUGGCAAGGGCACACGGAGUGCCCAAGUCCUUCUCUCUCAAAUCCCACCGAAGCAACUAAUGCUAGGGAGGAAAAAGAGAGGAAGAACAAGAAGGAGAACACCAAGAACUCCAAGAUCUAGAUCCAAGGGGUUCCCCUCACAAAGAGGAGAAAGUGAUUGGUGGAAAUGUGGAUCUAGAUCUCCUCUCUCUUUUCCCUCAAAAACUAGCAAGAAUCCAUGGAGGGAUUGAGAGUUAGCAAGCUCGAAUAAGGUCAACAAUGGGGGAAGAACACGAGCUCAAAGGAUAAGGUUCAAUGGGGAAGAAGACCCCCUUUUAUAGAAGGGGAAAAGUCCAACCGUUAGUGUGCUCAGUCCGCACAUGAGCGGUACUACCGCUCCACGAGCGGUACUACCGCUCUGGCGGAAGAAGCAGGGAAAAGGAGCAACCAAACAUGAACCUUGGGGCGGUAGUACCGCUUAUAAGCGGUACUACCGCUGGAGGAGCAGAACACGGGACCAAAAAAAAACAGUAGCGGUACUACCGCCCGACCGGAGCGGUACUACCGCUUAUAGGCGGUACUACCGCUUAUAGGUGGAACUGCCGCGCCUUACUGCCGUGCAAGUACUGCAAAACUCGACACGAAAAAUGCAAGACCCAAAAUCGAGG
rnacentral:lncRNA from 1 species